rnacentral:lncRNA from 1 species
CAACUAUCUCGUCCUCUGUCGUCCCCUUCUCCUUGUGCCCUCCAUCUUUCCCAACAUCAGGGUCUUUUCCAGGGAGUCUUCUCUUCUCAUGAGGUGGCCAAAGUAUUGGCGUCUCAGCUUCAGGAUCUGUCCUUCCAGUGAGCACUCGGGGCUGAUUUCCUUCAGAAAUGGAGAGGUUUGAUCUUCUUGCAGUCCAUGGGACUCUCAAGAGUCUUUCCCUUCUUACUAUAUUAUAAAAUAGUGUAAAUGCAAAUGUAAUAUGAGGAAGAACAUCAUACAAGUAUGUGCCCACUUAGAAUCAUAAAUUGACUACUAAGGUCCCAUAACUUUUAAAAACACAUAAUACUGUGUAAGCUUAACACACACACAAACACACCAAGGUUUGUGAGGCAUAUUCUGAACUCUUUUGAAACUUUGUAAGAUAUCUUGAAAGAUGCAGCUAGUUAGAACUAACAUUUCAGUUCUGCAGAGCCAUCCAGGAUAAACCUUUUGAAUACCACAAAAGUGAAUCAGCUGUUUUAUCUGAAAAUAAAACCUGCUGGAGCACUUUCUUUUUGCGAAUUCCACAGCAAUAUAAUCCGUUUCAUUUAGAUUUGGAGGGGGGAUUUCUGCACUUACUUUACUUAAUCUCUCCAAGCUUCUAAAGCUUUGCAGAAGAUUUCAAAUUCAUUCUUUUUAAUUGAGCUGUGUGUCUAAAUGCUGCAGCCUGCUCAGCAAUGUGGUGGAUGGUCAGAGGGAAAGCUAAGAGUUUCCUAAUUAACAGAGUUGCAUAUACGUCAUAGUGUAACUUCCAAAAUAAUAUAAUUAAAGGUAUAUCACAUCUAUUUUUACUGAUAUUGCUGUUGUUGUUUUAAAAACCCUGCAAAUUUGGAAAUUUAGCAGCAUAGUUUGUAUCCCUCACUCUUGCAACCAGAGUGCUUUAAAUCUAAGCAUGUCUGAAUCCUUCAGCUCUGAAUGUUGCUAUACUUACUGAAACUCUUUUGGCUUCUCUUGAAGUUCCUUCUACAUUUUGCCUGAGAAGGAAUCUUCAAAUCUCCUUCCGAUUUCACUUUGGGAGAAAAAUGACAACAGUUAUGGAUGCAUAGCACUCCCAAAGAGAAGUCUUCGUAGUCUUAUUCUGGACAGGCAAAAUGAUUGCCACAAAACCAAACGUAGUCCCGUGGCAUAGUUAAGCUUUCAUGAACUAGUACCAGAUACUCAAAUGCACAGCCAUCUUCCUAGUUGUGCCCUUCAUAUGGAGUUCCCAGCUGUGCAAGACCGUGCUUGAAUUGGUGGGGCAGGGCAGUGGGAGGGUGAAGAGCCUUUAGUAAAAAAAAAACUCCAGUCCCACCUCAGCCAAAUUGUGGUCCUCCAUGAACUUCUAAAAACCAUAGAUAGUGAGGAGGUGAUCACAAAGGCUGAGGGUCUCAGGAAGUUAUCGCUCAUGAGGUUCUUUAGCUGUUAAUUGGCAAGAAGAAGAAGAAGAUACAAGCUGAAUUUCAACUUUCAGUGUUCCACCUUCUCUUCAUUGUGGCUAGCCAUCAUCUUGAUUUCCACAUGAUACCAGUGGAGAUUAUCAUUUUCUGCAGAAAGCCCUUUGGGCAGAGGCGUAGCAAGGUCAGGUGGAACCUGGUGCAGAAUUUUUUUUGUCACCCCCCCCCCACACACAUCGACGGCUCGGAGUACACUUGGGUUGGGAAUGUCCCCCCUGGGUGUGCCACCCGCCCGUGACUCCCAAACCUCCCCCGAGCUGUCAAAAUGAAGGCCAAGUGGUGCAGCUCCCCUGUUCCCCCAACAGCUUGGGGGAGGCUUGGGAGUUGUGGGCAGGCGGUGCCCCCCCCAGCGAUGACACCCAGGGCAGUCCUCACCCCCCCACACACCCCUUCCCACACCUCUGCCUUUGGGAUGAUGCUACAUCAUAACUUGGCCUGGGCCCAAGGAGAGUUCUGUUGCACUCAGGUUUUGUUUGAGGGCUUGGCCACUGUGAGAAGAGGAUGCCAAACUAGCAAGUUCUUGUGUUCUUAUUAGGGGGCAAUUAAAGACAGUAACUGGGACGUGGGUGGCGCUGUGGGUUAAACCACAGAGCCUAGGACUUGCCGAUCAGAAGGUCGGCAGUUCGAAUCCCCGCGAUGAGGUGAGCUCCCGUUGCUCGGUCCCUGCUCCUGCCAACCUAGCAGUUCAAAAGCAUGUCAAAGUGCAAGUAGAUAAAUAGGUACCGCUCUGGCGGGAAGAUAAAUGGCGUUUCUGUGCGCUGCUCUGGUUUGCCAGAAGUGGCUUAGUCAUGCUGGCUACAUGACCCGGAAGCUGUACGCCAGCUCCCUCGGCCAAUAAAGCGAGAUGAGCGCCGCAACCCCAGAGUCGGUCACGACUGGACCUAAUGUCCCUUUGUUGUUGUUUAAUCAUUUAGUCGUGUCCAACUCUUCGCGACCCCAUGGACCAGAGCACGCCAGGCACCCCUGUCUUCCACUGCCUCCCGCAGUUUGGUCAAACUCAUGUCCGUAGCUUCGAGAACCCUGUCCAACCAUCUUGUCCUCUGUUGUCCCCUUCACCUUGUGCCCUCAAUCUUUCCCAACAUCAGGGUGUUUUCCACGGAAGUCUUCUCUUCUCAUGAGGUGGCCAAAGUAUUGGAGGCCUCAGCUUCAUGGGGUCCCUUUACCUUUACCUUUAACUGGCAGCAGCAAGGAGACACAGGAAUGCAGGUGAAUAUUGCGUCUCCAUCCUUGACAGUUGCCACCAUCCCUUCAAACAGUUCAGCCUUCUCUUUCUGGACACUUUUGGGAGCCAAAAGCGUGACCCGGCCCUAGAAUAAGCUACAUGUCUCUUUGUGGUCAUGGCUAUGAAAGGAUGGCUGGAGAAUCAAUGGCUCAGAGAAAUGAGAGCAGGAGGAGAAAUUCAGAGGGAGAAGCAAGAGAGAAGAGGCAAACAGGGAAAGAGAAUGCAUAAUAAGAAGAGGUAAACAUGGCCUGCAGCUGCACAGCUGACAGAGUCUGAAUAGCCAGCCAAAUCUUAGGCUACAGGCUUGCAAUUGCAUCAGUAGUCAAAUCACUUUCCCUAUGGCAAUUCUACAGGAUAUAUCCAAGCAAAACAAAUGUAGCUUAUUGAUUAAUUUUAUUUUUCACUUCCUUUCUCUGUGCUCAGCAAAUUCCUUAAUUCCUUUUGUGGUGAUCUUUUUUGUAUUAUUGUGUGUGUGCUUUGCUGUUUUCCUGCAUUUUUAACUUUAUUUCAGAGUAAAAUCCCAUGAUAUAAUAUCCAAAGCAGCUUAGCAGAGAAUACUACCAAACAGCUAAAUGCCAGCACAUUGGAGGCCAGCAUUGUUUGUCCUUGGCUAACUGGAAUCUUUUUAUUCACAACCCUGCCUGAGGUCAGAAAAGGAUGGUUUUUGGUAGGCUUGAUUCUCUGCCUUUGUCUUCCUGCCGAUAUGGAACAUUGAACAUGAUUAAUUGUGUUUCAGUUGCCACAUUGGAUUAUUAGUGUUGCUUUUACCUCAUGGGUUGUCAGACAAAGGAAAUGUUGGGUUGCUAACAACUCAAAAGUUGAUGAAUUUGUUUUGCUGUUGCUCUCUGGGAAUUAAAACUAUGUUGAGAAAUGACUAUUGCUGGAUAAAUCAGCUAAGCCCUUGAUUACAACACUGCAUUCUGGAUUUCAGUACAGACUGUACAUGUUCAGAAAAGAAAUAUUGUGCAUAUGAGUGGCGGUGGGGAUUAUUUCCAGCGUGAUUUUGUCUUUAAGAUGACUGAGCCCUGGUUCACACACAAAUCUAGGGGUUGCACUGCCAAUCCAACAUACUUAGAAUAUUUGUAUAUGCCAGGCCUUAUAAACAAAAUCUGACUUGAGACCUUUCAGAAUAAGAUUGUGUUGGCAGAGCCUACUUGUUUUGAGCCCAAAGCAUGUGGUUUUAGUCUUGACACUGCCAUCUUCUCAUCUCAUUGCCCCAAGUGUACCAAGCUUCACCCCUGGGCUGUCAGGAAUAACCUUCAGGCACCCAAAUUCCCCUGAGUCUUGGCCCUCCAUUUGUAGUCCGGACUUUCAGAAAAGUUUAAAUGAAUGCCCUGUGUCCAGGGCAGCUGUUUAUCAGCUCCAUCUGGUAUGCAGACUGAGACCCUACCUGCCCACAGACUGUCUCGCCAGAGUGGUGCAUGCUCUGGUUAUCUCCCGCUUGGACUACUGCAAUGCACUCUCCGUGGGGCUACCUUUGUUUUUUGUUUUUUUUUUAAUGAUAUUUAUUAAGGUUUCAGUAAAAAAUUAAACAGAACAACAUAAACGAAAAAUACACAAUUCAAAAAAGCACAAUACAUAGUCCAAAAAAGAAAAGAAAAAAAGAACAAAGAAAAAACAAAAUACAAAACAAAAAGAACAAUUAAAAACAGUAUCACCUUUUCGUUUCCAUCUUUAAAUUAACUUGUUUUCUGAACCUCCUCAUACCUCCCUCUUUUGUAUUCCAGUUCAAAUUGUUUGUCCAGCAAUUUCUUUCCCUCUUUUUUAAUCCCAAUCUUUAAUCUUAAUAUAAUAUAACAUUAAAAUUUUACCUCUUAAAAGCCAAAUUUCCAUUUCCUUAAACUUCUUUAGUCCUAAUCCUUAAUCUUAGUUUAUCUAUAACUUUAAAUCCUGUCUCCGUGGGGCUACCUUUGAAGGUGACCCGGAAACUACAACUAAUCCAGAAUGCGGCAGCUAGACUGGUGACUGGGAGCGGCCACCGAGACCAUAUAACACCAGUCUUGAAAGACCUACACUGGCUCCCAGUACGUUUCCGAGCACAAUUCAAAGUGUUGGUGCUGACCUUUAAAGCCCUAAACAGCCUCGGUCAGGUAUACCAGAAGGAGCAUCUCCACCCCCAUCGUUCUACCCGGACACUGAGGUCCAGCGCUGAGGGCCUUCUGGCGGUUCCCUCACUGCGAGAAGCCAAGUUACAGGGAACCAGGCAGAGGGCCUUCUCGGUAGUGGCACCCGCCCUGUGGAACACCCUACCACCAGAUGUCAAAGAGAAAAUAACUACCAAACUUUUAGAAGACAUCUAAAGGCAGCCCUGUUUAGGGAAGCUUUUAAUGUAUAAUAGGUUAUUGUAUUUUAGUGUUUUGUUGGAAGCCGCCCAGAGUGGCUGGGGAAACCCAGUCAGAUGGGUUGGGUAUAAAUAAAUUGUUGUUGUUGUUGUUGUUGUUGUUGUUAUUUCCUGUAAAAAGAGUUCACAGAAAAUUUGGCCCAUAUUCUCAGGGUGCAUGGCAAAGAGGGUACUGGAACAGCUUUAAGAAAAUGUUCAUGUGUAGAAUGAAUAGGCGCAUACAUUUGCCAUACAUAAAACUAAGGUAAACUCACCUAAAAUGACACUCGAAAUGCAAAUGAACAGGCGCCCUCAUCCGUGUUUUCUUUUGUGUCAUGUAUUUUAGAAAUGCAGGCCUGUGGGCAGGAGUUGUUUUGGUUGUUGUGGACCUUACGUAGGCCAUUCUGGAAGCCUUUUGGUCUAAACUGUGCUUAACCACAGAACUUUACGUUAGGACGGGUUACUAUAUGCAGCAUAGUAAAGGUAAAGGGACCCCUGACCAUUAGGUCCAGUCGUGGCCGACUCUGGGGUUGCGGCACUCAUCUUGCUUUAUUGGCCGAGGGAGCUGGCGUACAGCUUCCGGGUCAUGUGGCCAGCAUGACUAAGCCGUUUCUGGCGAACCAGAGCAGUGCACAGAAACACCGUUUAUCUUCCCGCCGGAGCGGUACCUAUUUAUCUACUUGCACUUUGACGUGCUUUCGAACUGCCAGGUUGGUAGGAGCAGGGACCGAGCAACGGGAGCUCACUGCAACACGGGGAUUCAAACCACCAACCUUCUGAUCGGCAAGUCCUAGGCUCUGUGGUUUAACCCACAGCGGCACCCGUGCUGUAUGCAGCAUAGCAUACAGUAAUUUAUACUGUAUUUUUAUUCAAUUAUUUCAGCGUACGUAUCCCAGGUUUCUGUGGGAAAUAUUCAAGGUGGCCAAUGGUACAAUGCAAACACAGCAAGCGCUUACACUUUAUAUUCUGCGGUCAAAGAAACAAUUUUAACUGUCACUGGACCUCGGAGGAUUUUGAAAGGGUGUGGAGGACGAACUUUCUACACUCUCCAUUAUGUUUUAUAUGUGACUUGCUCUCCUUUUCAUUUUCCUGACCAAUAUCUCUCCCCCCCCCCCCGCAUUUGAGGAUGACUGAACUGUUUGAAAGGAGAACUCAUAUUUACCCCUUGAGUCUAUUGUGUAUCUGCUGGGAUGUUGGCCGCUAUUAUCAAUUAGGUCUAUGUGGCAUGAUGUGGGUGACUGAUGGAGGGCGGCACAAAUCAUGCACCCUCACAGAUGGCAGCUAGACUAGGUGGCCCAGUAUUAUAGCUUUGUGAUUACACUGAAAUGUAUAGAUCUCCGUUUGCAAUUGCUUUGCCCUCCCUUAAUAUCAUAAUAAAAGCUUCAUCCUCACAGACUCUGUUUCAUCAAAUAUGGGCACCUGCAUUACCUGCCAACUGCGUCUUUGAAGAUUUCUGAUUCCUUUAACCUGUCGUUUCAGCUUCUAUAAGAGAGAGUUUUGGAGGGGGGAAGGCUCAUUACUUAAGAUGCUUCCCGUCAUUGUAGCUACAACGUUCAGCUGAAUUACCCAGCAACUUACUGAAAAGCCUCCUCCGGUGAUGUGAGCAGCAUAAUCAAAUUGCCUGCCUAGAUCAGUACAUGAAUCUUAGCAUUUCCUAUUUGACUCCUUAGGAACCACAAACUGCUCUUCUUAAUGGGAAAUGUGCUACAAACCUGAUUUGAAUUUAAAUAUGAAUGAACUGUGAAAGAGGCAGACAACAGCUUUUGUACUUUUUGGAAAAGUGGUUGCAAUAUAAAUCCUUGGUUCUUCUUGCGCGGUGCUAUUUUUCAUGUACAGUUUAUUUGCUUGGGGGGGGAAACCAUUAAAAGCUCCACUAAAUAACUGAUGUGUGCAGAGUUGGUUUUGGUGGUUAUUUUUAAAAAAAAGAAAAAAUAAGCAAUUCCUACAGAUAGUGAUGGCACUGAAGUUUUUGAAUUCCUGGUUUGUUAUAAAAGUUUGUCGAGCUCGUAAUGGUCAGCUGGACCUUGGAGGAACUUUUCACAGAACUUCUCCAGCUUGGAGACCUAUGCGAGUGUUCAGCAGACCAGCUGCUCAAAGCCAUCUGCUUUGCGGGUACAUGCACAGACAUUUUCCAAAAUAUUAACCCUCCCUCUAAAUGAAAUAGCCACUGAUCACUGAGAAACUACAUGGGCAUUUUAAAUGGUAAUAGAAUUUUCAAAGCAAUACCAGACCAGCUGCCCAAGGCCAUCUGUUUUGUAGGUACAUGCACAGACUGUCAGCAUCGCCCUUGAGCCAGUGCCACCAACUGGACUCAUCCACUUCAGCCCCGACUGGGCUAGGCGAGCUGGGUAGCACUUCCAGAGACCACCUUCUGCACAGGAAUAGGUCAAAGUGCUGUGGACUCACAGCUUAGAGUUGUGAGCACCGGAUUCACUCCAACAAGAAGACAGUCGUCGCACAGCAGAGUACAGCAGACUCUAGCAGAGUAUAUAAACAACUCGGAGAGCAGCUCUGUAGAAUAUCUUCUUUAUUCUAUCUACAACUAUUAUACAACUAUAUACAGAGCUUGGUGAGUCUAAGCAUAAAUGAAUGCUGCACUGCACUGAGUGUCUGCAGCUGCUCUUAGCAGCAACCUUAUCUCUACACACGAUCUCUAACACUCAGUCUCUCUCUCUCUCCGACACUGACUGACUGACUGAUUUGGUGCUGGAGCAGAAUAAGUAGAGAGCAGAACACGCCUCCUCCUCUCUGGAGAAUCAGCAGACUCCUCAGGAGAUUCUUGGAUAUGGGACGGGUGAAAUCUCUUGGAGGACCUUGGAGGAACUUUUUGCAGAACUUCUCCAGCUUGGAGACCUAUGCGAGUGUUCAGCAGACCAGCUGUUCAAAGCCAUCUGCUUUGCGGGUACAUGCACAGACAUUUUCCAAAAUAUUAACCCUCCCUCUAAAUGAAAUAGCCACUGAUCACUGAGAAACUACAUGGCAUUUUAAAUGGUAAUAGAAUUUUCAAAGCAAUACCAGACCAGCUGCCCAAGGCCAUCUGUUUUGUAGGUACAUGCACAGACAUUUUUUAAUAGUAACCCUGACUUCCAAUGAAACACUCCUCAGCUGUGAAGGUACACAGACAUUUUAAAUGGGCAUGGGAUUUUCAAAGGAAUACAGUGGUGCCUCGCAAGACGAAAUUAAUCCGUUCCGCAAGAGUCUUCGUCUAGCGGUUUUUUCGUCUUGCGAAGCAAGCCCAUUGACGGAUUAGCGCUAUUAGCGCUAUCAGCUGUUUAGCGGCUAUUAAAGGCUUAAAGGCUUAGGGGAUUAGCUGCUAAAAGGCUAUUAAAGGCUAUUAAAGGCUUAGCAGAUUAGAUAAAGGGGGAAAAGCGAAAAAAAUCUCAAGACUCGCAAGGUAUUUUCGUCUUGCGAAGCAAGCCCAUAGGGGAAUUCGUCCUGCGAAGCAACUUCAAAACGGAAAACCCUUUCGUCUAGCGGUUUUUCCGUCUUGCGAGGCAUUCGUCUUGCGGGGCACCACUGUACCAUGUUGCACAAACACACACACACUAGUGACACUUACACACUUCCAAAUUAAAUGAUCUCACAUACAAGGCAUGCAUGUGAUGUACUGCAACCAAGCAACCACAUGACAGAGCAAGACAUAAAAUCAUGUAUUGUGCUCUGUAGAUUUUAAAAUAGUUGCCAAGCGACCAUUCACAGGAGGCAACACUGUAGCGCAGAGGUUUUCAAGCUUUUGGAGUCCAUGGCUGCCUUGGCCAACUGAAUUUAAAGCCCUAAAUGGCCUCGGCCCAGUAUACCUGAAGGAGCGUCUCCAACCCCAUCGUUCUGCCCAGACGCUGAGGUCCAGCGCCAAGGGCCUUCUGGCGGUUCCCUCAUUGCAAGAAGCAAAGCUACAGGGAACCAGGCAGAGGGCCUUCUCGGUAGUGGCACCCGCUCUGCGGAACGCCCUCCUACCAGAUGUCAAAGAGAUAAACAACUACUUGACAUUCAGAAGACAUCUGAAGGCAGCCCUGUUCAGGGAAGUUUUUAAUGUGUGAUAUUUUAAUGUAUUUUUAAUAUUUGUUGGAAGCUGCCCAGAGUGGCUGGGGAAACCCAGCCAGAUGGGCGGGGUACAAAUAUAUUAUUAUUAUUAUUAUUAUUAUUAUUAUUAUUAUUAUUAUUAUUUCUGCUGAACCCCUGUGGGGCUCAGGAGCCCAGUUAUGUCACCCCUUGCCUGCAGAGCUGGCAGCCCCUCACCCCUUUUCGAACACCAUGCCUUGUGGAGUGUUCCCUCAGCCUCCUCUCCCCUCUCUUUGGGAGUUCUCUGGGCAGCCACCACUGCUUUCCCUGGUCUCUGAGCUGUUCCCCCUUGCCCCCAAAGAGUGGUGCCUUCUCACACUGCCCCACAUAGGCCUGGGACUUGUCUGUCCAUUCCCAACAGCAAGGGCUGGAGGACUGGCUGGCUGACUGGGCUCCCUCGCCCACUUGCUUCCUUACUCCGAGGCCGCCUCAGCUCCUGACAAAUAGCACCCCCUGACCAGCCCCAGAGGCACCAUUCACCUGCGGAGCUUGUAGCCAGGACUGCUGCAACAAACAGCUCUGCAAGCCUUUGGGACGCAGAGAUGCGAGAGGGCAUCAGAGGAGAGAGAGAAGGAAAGAGGGACAGAGGCCAAUGUUGCCCAUGGCACCCCUGACCAUCAUUCAAGGCACACUGGUUGAAAACCACUGCUGUAACUUCCAUAUGUGCAGCACCACCAGGACUCAAGUGCCAACAUUAUUAUUUCGGAUAAACCUUCAGAAAUUAGAUGAGUGUUUUUCAACACUCAGUGAGAACACUUAUAAUUAGCCUGUUUCUGAAUAGACCCAAUUGGAACCUGUCCAUCACUAGUUACUUUCUUUCAAGGAAACUGCGGUAGGUGAGCAAACAAGGUACAAAGCCAGCUGUAAACAGUGACUGCAAAAAUGUCAUAUUGAAGUGAAUUCAAGCAACCAGUUCCUUUCCCCAACCCCAGUAAGGGAUGACUUUUGCAGUGAUGGGCUCCAUGAUCGGGGGGGGGGGGGGUAAUUCUGAGAAAAUGUUUUGAAUUUUUUAACCAUUUUUUUAUCCUGACUUCAACAAAGCCACUUUGCUAAUUCCCCCAUAUUCCAAUCUCUCUCUCUCUCUUUCUCUCUCCCCCCCCCCACCUUCACACAUGCAUCAAUAUCAUAAUCUCCCCUCAUAACCCCCUGGAAGAAUGCUAAUUGUGGGUCAUAAUUGUUUUUAUCAGCUAUACAGUGGUACCUCAGGUUACAUACACUUUAGGUUACAUACGCUUCAGGUUACAGACUCCGCUAAGCCAGAAAUAGUGCUUCAGGUUAAUAACUUUGCUUCAGGAUGAGAACAGAAAUUGUGCGGCGGCGGCACGGCAGCAGCAGGAGGCCCCAUUAACUAAAGUGGUGCUUCAGGUUAAGAACAGUUUCAGGUUAAGAACGGACCUCCGGAAAGAAUUAAGUACUUAACCCGAGGUACCACUGCAGUCUAAAGCAGAACUGAGCAAAAAAUUCUCACCUUUGGCUCAAAUAUCAGGAGUAGGAGUAAAAGGGGGAGGGCUUAAACGUCCUUGCAAUUUUAGGGAGGAUUCUUCACGACUUUUGGAACAAUGAACUUUUUCUUUCUUUCUUUCUUUCUUUGCACCAUUGUUUUGCUGGAGUUCCUCUUGGCAUCUGUCUUCUGAUGGCAGCCAUUCCUCAUUCGUACCCCAAUGUCUGCCUUGGAGCAACUCUCACAAAGCACCUGGAAUGUCAAAAAGUCAUGAAAUAGCAUUGUUCCAAGACGGAGAUUGUUAGAAAGAAAUGUCACCCUCCACAGUGCUGACAAUGGGAGAUCUGCCAUGACACCUGACAGCAGCAGGACAAAGUAAAGGAUAAAUUUAAAGACAAUAAAGGCUUCCAGUUUUAAUUAAAUAUGCUAUUCUGUUUCUGCUCCUCAACACAAACAUAAUUAGCUAUAUUUUCUAUUGCUGUAUAUUCUCGCGUUUUAUUCAACCAUUCCUUCAUUGUAAAAAAAAUUUAAAAAAAUAAUAAUCUAAACUUUAUGUUUGAGCUUCCAUCUUUGCUUAAAAAGCCCAGAAAAACUCUGGCUUCAUCUGACUAACCUACAUUUGUUUAUUCGUAUCUGUGUUUCUAAAUAUUUGAUCAAAGCUCAGCAUUUAUAGCAAUCUAACACAGUUGCGUGAAUGGAAAAUAUUGCUCAAAAAUGAGAAAAAUCUCCACAUGAAACACAUUUCCCAGCAGCAAUAGACACACCAUAAGAAGUGGAUUAAAGUCCACCGCAUAAAUCUGAGAAAUUUUCUGAAGCGAUAAAUCAACCUGAGAAAACUGAAUGUGGAUGAAUAGAAACAGGAGGAGGGCCCGGCUUGGUAGGGGAUGGCGGAGGUGUAAAGAGUAGACGAGUACAACUAAGUUUAGCUGAGUCAAUGUUAUAAACACAAAACACAGUCAAGGGAAUCAUAAGGAAGUAGCUUAAAUACUUCAAAGAAAGCCUUCCUUUCAUGGAAAACAAUACCCUGAUUAGUCUCAGUUUUCUAGCCUAAAGGUAUUUUCUUUAAAAUUCUUUUGUACAUUAUUCAUAUUCUUAGCAGAAAUAGUCUUGCUGGCUCCGCUCUGAUUGGUAGUAGUGUAGCAACGAGGGAAAGGUGUUCAGAUUUCUGUUUUACAUUCUUUCAGUGAAGUGGCAAAGUUGUAAUGGGGCUUGGCAUUCUUUCAACCUUCAUUCCUAUAGCUGAAAUCUCUUCCCAGCAUCUGAAAUAAAAGGGUGCUUCAGCAGGGCCUCCGCACAACACAAUGGCCCCAGUUACACAGGUGAUGGACGGAGAGGUAAAGCAUGUCCUUGGGGCUCGGCAAGAGACUUAGAUAAACUGUGGGAGCCCAGGUGUAUUGUGGAAAGGGAUAAAAUGUGUAGCAGAAUAGCAGAGGCAACGUGUAAGGUUCAAAUCUCACCUCAGGCAUAAGAUGACAUCCUAUUCUCCAUCAGGUAGCUUUGUCCACGUUGGAUCAUGCCGCAUGCAUAGACCUCAGAUACAUAUCUACAUCCGUCACUUUGUGUCAGGGGCUGGACUAAGGAGAAAUGUGUAUACCCUGCUCUUCCCAUAGAAGAGGGAGACAGUAUAGAUUUAGAACAGUGGUUUGCAGAAGGUCAUAGUUCAGAGGCUGCAGAGGGAAGAAACUGGGAGAAGAAACUGCCUUGAGUCCCUGUCAGGGAAUAAGGAGGAAUAUAAUAAUAAUAAUAAGCAAUAAUAACAUCAAUAACAUGUAGGUUGAACGAGGUAACUGUUAGGUGGAUUUGUAGCUGGUUGACUGACCAAUCCCAAACAGUACUCAUUAAUGGUUCGUCAUCAUCCUGGAAAAAGUGACAAAUGGGGUGCCACAGGGUUCUGUCCUGGGCCCGUUGUUGUUUUAUGUCUUUAUAAAGGACUUGGAUGAAGGAAUUGAGGGGAUGCUCAUCACAUUUGCAGAUGACACCAAACUGGGAGGGGUAGUGAAUACCGCAGAAGACAGAAUCAGAAUUCAAAAUGACCUCAACGGAUUGGAGAACUGGGUGCAAGCUAACAGAAUAAAUUUCAAUAGGGACAACUGUAAGGUUCUGCACUUAGGCAGGAAGAGCCAGAUGCACAAAUAUAGGAUGGGAGACACCUGGCUUACUAGCAUUACAUAUGAAAAGGACCUAGGGGUCUUGGUGGACCACAAGCUUAACAUGAGUCAACAGUGUGAUGCAGCAGCAAAAAAAAGGUAAUGCUGUUCUAGGCUGCAUCAACAGAAGUCUAGUGUCCAGGUCAAGGAAAGUAAAAGUACCACUCUCUUCUGCCUUAGUCAGACCACACUUGGAAUACUAUGUCCAGUUCUGGGCACCACAAUUUAAGAAGGAUGUUGACAAGCUGGAAUGUGUGUAGAGGAGGGCAACCAAGAUGAUCAAGGGUCUGGAAACCAAGCCUUAUGAGGAACAGUUGAAAGAGCUGGGUAUGUUUAGCCUGGAAAAGAGGAUACUGAGAGGAGAUAUGAGAGCCAUAUUCAAAUAUCUGAAGAGCUGUCACAUGCUUGUUUUCUCCUGCUCUGGAGGGUAGGACUCGAACCAAUGGCUUCAAGUUGCAAGAAAGGAGAUUCUGACUAAACCUUCGGAAAAACUUUCUGACAGUAAGAACUGUUCAACAGUGGAACAGACUCCCAAGAGAAGUGGUGGAUUCUCCUUCCUUGGAGGUUUUUAAGCAGAGGUUGGGUGGCCAUCUGUCAUGGAUGCUUAGCUGAGAUUCCAAAAUUACAGGGGGUUGGAAUAGAUGACCCUUGGGGUACCUUCCAACUUUAAGAGUCUUUGAUUCUAACUAUAAUAAGAAUAGAAACUGUGAGAAUGAUCAAGAACAUACCAGAGAGUAAAUCCUAUUGAACUCAGUGGGUCUGCUUUAUAUUGCAGUGUAAGGUUGCCCAGUCUUGACCCAGUUACCUGCAAAUAUGCUUCAUGGAAUACAGUAGGACUUCCUUCUGAGUAGAUAGUGUCAGGCUCCAUUUACAACAAAGGAAUCAACACUCCCUGUGUUUCCUUUAAAAAAGUGGCUGGCUGUGGAAGCAUUGCAAUGAUAGAAUUGAAAGCGGACUGAUGACCUUUCCCUUCAACAUUAUGGGAAGGGCUCAUAGCUGUCAACCGUCCCUUAUUUGGUGGGAAAUUCCCUUAUCCCAGCAUCAUUUCCCACUGCUGUCCCAGAUUGAUGAUGUCCCUUAAAUUUCCCAGGUUUCAUGCUCGCCCGGCUCGGGAGGGAAGCAGCAGCUCGGGGUCCUCCGCCUCGAGAGAGCGAGAGAGAGAGCGUGCUCGAGCUGCCGUGUCUCCGUCUCUCCCUUUUCCCCCUCAGGGGUGCGUCAUGAGGAGACGGGUGGCGGCGGGCGAGCACACAGCCCCUCACUUGCAAGACUUCCGCCGCGCUGCCAGGGGAAGCCAGAGGUGGCAGCGGCGGCGGCAGCGGCGGCUGAGGAGGUGGCCUGAGGGAGGAGGAAGAGGAGGGGAUGGGGAGGGACGCCGAAGGGCGGGCUGGCGUGCGGCGUGGGCAAGAGUCUCUCUCCCUCCCUCCCUCUCUCUCGGGCGGGGAAGGGCCGAUGGAACUCCUCGCACCAGGACGACGGCAGCCCCGACGUGCUGCUUAGCAUCCCCUCCAACCAGUGCAGCAUCUUAAUGUAGUGAUUUCCCCCUCUGCAUCCCUUUCAUAACUCUAUUUUUAGAAAUCAUUUGUCCAUCCAUAGUUCAAAUUUUUACUACAAGUUUUCUGUCAAUCCUACCAAUGUAUGUAACUAUUUACAAUAGCUUUUCAACUAAAUUAUAAACUUUCCCCAUUGCUUAUUAAAGAGGUCCUCUUCCUGGUUUCUAAUUCUGCCUGUAAGCUUUGCCAUCUCGACGUCGUUCAUCAGUUUUGUCUGCCACUCUUCUUUGGUUGGAGUUGUAGACCCUUAGGAUCAUCUAGUCCAACCCCCUGCAAAACACAGUUAGUCGCAGCCAAAGCAGCCUGGCUCCAUCAGUGCGGGAUUUAUGUAUAAGCUAAGCAAAAUCCCUUAUUUUGGCUGCUGAUCCCUUAUUUUCAAGGCUGCUGGUCCCUUAUUUUCAAAUCUGUAAGUUGACAGCUAUGGAAGGGCUUCACAUGCCUGCUUCACCAUUUCCUUUGUUAGGUGCAGGUAUUUUGUUUUCCGUAGGAAUGGGACUCUGCUUUUGCAUCCCCUACAUCACUUUUAAUUGUGCUCUGAGAUGUGGAGGGAAAAGGCAAACCGGGACAUUCUGGGGUCAAAUCAGAAACCGGAGUUGCUUCUGUAAUUCCGGGACUGUCCCUGGACAACUGGGACACUUGAAGACUCUGCAAGGCUGGGGGACUUUUGGGCCUCCAGAUGUUGCUGCAGUACAACUCCCAUCAUGCCUUGCUUUGGCCAUCCUGUCUGAGGCUGUUGAGAGUUGAAAUCCAACACCAUCAUCACAGGUUCUCCACCCCUUCACUAGAUGUUAGACAAGCUACUAUACUCACAGCAUCAGCAAUAUGGCGAAAAUGAUUUUGGUCUAUACAUUUUCUUUAGCUCAUUAUAUACCAUUUCCCAGAAAGCCUUUAUUUCUUUGCAAGUCCACCACAUGUAGUAGAAGAAGAUUUUAAAAAAUACUUUUGUUAAAAAACCAGAAGCCUUUCUAUUGGGUAUAGCGGGUGAAGAGAAGAUAAAAGACUAUUUAUGUAUGCAACAACUGCGGCAAGAAUUAUCUUAGCCCAGAAAUGGAAACAACAAGAAGUACCAAUGAAAGAAGAGUGGCAAAUGAAGAUGAUGGACUUUGUACGUUGGAAGAGGGGUAGUCUUAUACGGCGAGUAUAUCCUAAAUUCUAUAUUUUAACUGGAAAAGUUGGGGGGGUCAUCUUAUAGGCUCAGUCGUCUUAUACACCAGAAAAUAUGGUAUUUGAAGUGUAUUUUCAGCCUCUAGCAAACAUGCAAGUGCAUGUAGAAAGGAGCCCCACUGCAUUCACUGAGUUUACUCCCACAUAGAUUUGCCUAGGAGGGCAACCGUAGGUCUAUAUAAAUACCAAUUUAUAUUAUUGUACCACUAAACCAUAGAAGAACUCCGCCACCCCGAGUCCCCGAUUGGUCCACAGGAACAAUAACAAGAUCUCUUGAACUUUCAUCUUUCUCUACCAUAAGUAAUAUAGAAGUGUUGAAGCAGAGAACCUGGGGUGAUGGUGUUUUAGAAAAACAGCCAUAACGUCAAUGUGUAGUUUCAAAAUUAUGGGUCCGCUUCUCACUUCCCUAAAGUUGGUGCCCCAUUGAUUCUUUUGGAAGCUGCUCUCGGUUUGCAAGCUUGUAUGCUGCAGGAGAGUCAGGCGUAACCACAGGGCAUAAAAUAAUUGGCAUGCACAGAAAUAUAUCAAAAAGCAUUGAGCAUUGAAAAAUAUGUGGAAACUAUGAAUGUUAGUACAAUAAACAAGGAGCAAUAGAAAAAGCCAUGCUGAUCUUUCAAGGGAUUCCCCAUGCAUUACAAUGGAAGUGGCAUAUCUAUGUGUGAAUUUCUUUCCAUGUGCAUUAAUGUUGCCAGUUUUCAAGGAGGUGCUAAUAUUAGGGCAUCAAGUGUCUCUUAACUCUACCUACAAGCUACAUAUUCACAAGCUAGAGGCAAUAAAGGCACCUUUAUUGAGGGUUUGGUAUUAUGCAAUGAUACCGAUGGAUAUGCAACAAUACCAAUUGAUCAAAAGGCAGAUAACUAAAAAGCUACAAAAACUUUAAUUAGGUGACAGACCUGGCUUCCAAAUGUUCACCUGCAAGAUGCCCUUUUUCAGUUAAUUACAAUUUACUAAGGAAUUGUUUUCGGCAACAGUGGUCUAUAAAUUGUCUUUUCCUCUCUAGUUCCAGGGUAAACUAGCAGAAUGAAACAAGGAACAAAACCCUUGCUAUUCUUGUGACUUGAAGAUAGCUAAAUGCGGGAUUCUGUAGAAAGCAGACAGGAAAAGAGAGUUUCGGGAGAUGGUUUUUGUAAGGUUCAGAAGUAGAGAAAGUGGAUUAGAAAACUUAGUAGAAACUUGAAAACUGGAGGGAGAAGAGAUGUUGGCACAGAUGGGGAGGAAUACAAAUGAAGAAAUACAAUGAGUAUACGGCACUGAGAGAUAGCAAAUACAAAGAAAAGUAAAUAGAUAGGGGAAACAAUGCUCGAAUCAAGAAAAGAUAAAAGUCUGAAAUGUGGAAUAAGAGGUAGAUAUAAUGGUGGAUAUGGGGUGAUAAGGGAAAAGUUUGGAUUGGAGGCCAUGUACUCAGGAUAAUAAAUUCAUUUCCAUGGAACAUUCCUGAAAGUAAACAAAACCCAUCUGCUGUUAAGGAGCCAUCACUGCCCAGUCUGCAGAUCUUGGUUCGCCACUUAUUGGGUUAACAGAUUGCUGCUAACCUGUCGCUAUUCCGUGUUAACCUCACAACAAGUUAUGAACAUGUUUUCCAUUUGGUACUGAAAAAAACUGUUCCAUAUGUUAUGUAAAGGUAAAGUUAAAGGGACCCCUGACCAUUAAGUCCAGUCAUGGCUGACUCUGGGGUUGCGGCGCUGAUCUCGCUUUAUUGGCUGACAGAGCCAGCGUACAGCUUCCGGGUCAUGUGGCCAGCAUGACUAAGCCGCUUCUGGCGAACCAGAGCAGCGCACAGAAACGCCGUUUACCUUCCCGCCGGAGUGGUACCUAUUUAUCUACUUACACUUUGACAUGCUUUCGAACUGCUAGGUUGGCAGGAGCAGGGACCGAGCAACGGGAGCUCACCCCGUCGCGGGGAUUCGAACCGCCAACCUUCUGUUCGGCAAGUCCUAGGCUCUGUGGUUUAACCCACCUCACCACCCGCGUCCCUUAUAUGUUAUGUAGAAGGUCAUAUCUUAUAACCCAGGUGUGCAGCGAUGUUUAUAAUGUGGGGGGCUUUGUGUGCCACCAGGUGUAUUUAACCUAUGAUACCUUUUCUGAGGAAAAAUUGGAGGCAUCUCAGUAAUAAAAUGGAUUGAUAUGCAGCAUUCAGAAUAGAUACAUACACCAGAAAGGUUUCACUCAGGGCCGUCUUUAGCAUAUACGCUGCUGGGGUGCAAAGAUCCGCCCAGCGCCCCUAAAUUUAGUUUAGCCCCCAAAUUAACUUUUAUUAUGCUUAUGUCACUAUUAUCAUUUGAUAAAUAGCACUCACGCCUGCGCGGCUCCAAAAGGAGGGUUUUUUGUUUAAAACCAGCUUUUCUAAAGAAGACAAAUAAGACAUUGGGAGUCGGUAUAAAGACUCCACGUAUGCGCUUACGGUCGUAGGGAGUUGUCUGAAAGAUGAGACGGGUCAGCAUUGUGCACAUGCGUGGGAGAGCCAUUUUGGGCAGCCUUUCAUUGUGGGAGCAACCUUAUUUCUAGAGGAGCUGGGAGCGCAUAUAUGAGUUCUUCUUCCGGAGCCUGCGCACACUCCCAUUGCUAGAUAGGUCCAUUCUCUUUCUGUCUGCCUCUCCCUCUUUCCUGUCACUCCCCCUCCUCCCGUCUUUGGCAAGCGAGACUUUCCAGAGAGCUCUCCCUGCAGCAGCCUUAGCUUAGGCAGCGACUUCAGCGGUGGGCACCUGACACCCCCCAGAAUUUGGCGCCUGGGUGCCCCGCACCCCUUGCACCCCCAGGUAAAGACGGCCCUGGUUUCACUGCUGUGCCUGCAGCAGGUCAAACUUUCCACCGCUUUGCCCCCGUUGCCUCUUGGUAACUGGCAGCAACAUGUGGUUUUGGGAAGAUGGGAGAGAGAGCAACAUAGUCCUAUCUGCAGCAUCCCACCAGCUGCUACUGGCAAUUUCCUCUUUUAGGUUAAUGCCACUACCCACAUACUGGCAUAAAGAGGGAGGAUAAACGUUGCAUUUGGAAAGGAAAGUAGUAAAUCUAUCCAAUAAAUUCAAGACAUCGCAGUGGAUCCCAGCCCAAAGUUAGAGAGCCACGGCAGUAGAUCUUCCAUAAAGCUGCCUUGCUCCUGCCACCGUGUAUCUCAGUCGCUCAGCGCGCUAUGCAUGUUACUCUUUAACGGCAGUGUUAAAUUGCCUAGGGGCAAUGUUCUAACAAAUAAAUUUAAAACCCAUUUGAAAUGCAUUCGUUUCUGAGGUCGCAGUGUAAGAUUGACUACAUUUGGAUAUAUCCUUGAGCUAAACAAGAAAGCUUGAAAUUCCAGAUUCCUUAAAAGCAGUUCGGUGUUCUUCGUUCUCAGGAAUGUAUAGAUAAGCCGCUGCCAGCAUUUGUUAUGGAUGGAACCUCGUUUCCCUUGGAUUUUGUUCAGUUUUUAAAAGGUUGUUUUGACAGUCCAUAAUAAUAAUAAUAAUAAUAAUAAUAAUAAUAAUAAUAAUAAAUUUUAUUUAUAUCCCGCCCUCCCCAGCCGAAGCCAGGCUCAGGGCAGCUAACAACACUAUAUUUCUCGAAUGGUAAAUAUCUGAAGAGGCAGCAAAAUGGAAGUUAUUGUUUCAAACCAAUCCAAGGGGUUUUGAAAGAAACAGACUUUUUAAAAGGGACCUUCUUCUCAGCUGAUGUGCAUCAGAAUGGUUCGGCGUUAGAGCAUUUUGUUUAUUCCUCAGACAGAGGCAGAUUUAGGGAAGCGCAACCAGGUACCUGCAUUGGGCAAUGAGCCAAGAGAACGCCACAGGGAGUGCCGCAGGAAUGAGGGCAAAAGUCGGAGGGUGUGUCAAUUUUUGGGUGUCAAUGGCAUGUUCUAUCCCUCCUGGUUGAUCGUUCGGGAGCUUCAAAAGCUUUCUCCAACCGAAACAUCACAGCGACUGAUACCAAGAGGCAUCAGCACACUUAUGAUCCUGCAGAGUACAGUGGUACCUCGGGUUACAUACGCUUCAGGUUACAGACUCUGCUAACCCUGAAAUAGUGCUUCAGGUUAAGAACAGGUUAAGAACUUUGCUUCAGGAUGAGAACAGAAAUCGUGCUCUGGCGGCGCGGCGGCAGCAGGAGGCCCCAUUAGCUAAAGUGGUGCUUCAGGUUAAGAACAGUUUCAGGUUAAGAACGGACCUCCGGAUUGAAUUAAGUACUUAACCCGAGGUAUCACUGUAUUUGCAGUUUGCAUAACAGAACUCAGUAUCACAGCAUUUUGGCUAAUCUACUUUAUUUACAUACACUACACUUGGAGCAUUCUGACUUAGCUCCUUCCUCUUUCUCACCAGACAGCAAAGAGAGAGAGAGAGAGAGAGAGAGAGAGAGAGAGAGAGAGAGAAAGGACAAUAGUCCCACUUCACAGAACACAGUAAUACCAAAACAUCCGGUCUCUGUCACUUCCCACACUGUGGAAUGAAAACAUACACCGUCUUGUGAUAGACAACAAUCUCAUGACUGCAAGCACGGAGCAAGAAUCCUAACAGAAGCUGCCCAGAGUGGCUGGGGCAACCCAGUAAUGUGGGUUCAUUAUGGAAUGGGACGUCCCUAUUUUCACUGAAGAAAUGUUGGAGGGUAUGCCAUUAGGCAAAGUGAGGAAGUUGCCUCAGGUGGCAGAUUCUGAGGGCAGGGAACAAAAAGACCUGCCUGUGUCAUGCAGCCUGCCCUACCCUCUGGUGCAGUGGAUGCUAUUCCAUUGCCUUUGAUGAAAUAAUGUUCAGCGGCCAGACAAGUUGGCUUUUUUGGCAGGGUGGGGCAGAGGUGCACCAUCUUUUCUUUUGCCUCAGACAGCAAAAUGUCUUGGGCUAGCUCCAACCUGAGCUUCCCAUCUCCAUCAGUGUCCAGUCAAGAAAGCCUAUUUUGAAAGUUAUGUCAAAACUUGCAAUAAAUUCCCAUCUAGAGCCCUGGUUUAAUGAUCAGAGCAUGCAUAAUGGCUGAUGUGUGUGCCAAGUUGUAGUGGGGAGGCCUCCCCUGAGCUUGGAUAGCAUCCUGAGCCAUUGACAUCCAUGCUCAGGUUGUGGAUGUUUUGUGUAUGUGAGUGUGUUUUGAUCUCAAACACGAUUCUCAUGCAGUUACUGUAGCUGAGAUGAUAAUUCUGUUCUCUUUAUUAAUUCCUCAUGAGCUCUUUAAUAAAUCAUUGCAGCCCAGCUAUUCUUCAGGACCAUUUUGGCAUUUUUUUUAUGGUGCUAUGGAUACUUCCAACCUUGCCUAAUCUCCAACUGAGAGACUUUGCAUGUUUUAAAAAUGCCAGGAUGAAACCGCCACUGCUAUAUAUCUCCAUGGCAUUAAUUUUCACCCAGAACCAUCUAUUCCAGACAUGGGGCGUAUGACUUCAUAUGAGACUCAACUGAUGCCUAUUAAAAAUCCUUAUGCAGUCAGGAUCAUCUCUGAAGAUAUUUAUUGCUACAAAUUAAAGUUUGCUGUCAUAAAUAAUUUCGCUGUAUCCAAAUUGGCACAGGGGUCUCAUUUUUAAAAAACCAAAAACCAAAAAAACAGAACCAUAGGAGACGUUAAUUUUGCCCUUAAAAGGAAAGGUCUUAUUCAGGUCUGAAGGAAUGAACAUUCUUGGAGGAUUUGCAGUGCUUCCAGCAGCAUCAUGAUACACUGGCAGAAGAAGAGAAGCUGGCACUUUACUUCUUUUCAUAAAUGAGCAGCUGAGGGGUGAAUCUUAAGAAGCUGGGAGAGAAGGGGGAAACCUGCCAUUUGAAUCAAACUGUCCCCAAACAUCUGGCAAAAAUAUGGAGGUGAAUAGCACAUUACCUAUGUAACUAUUGCCUGUAUUCUGCAAGCUUUGUAGGGAAGAUUCACCUACAAAUACAUGUGCUGUCGAGAACUGUUCUCAAGCUCUUCCUCUCUCCCAAAGUCCCUGCAUAUUGCAUUAUAUAUUUAAAUGCUACAGAAUUGUAAUUGACCCCCCCCCAAAAAAAGUUAAAGAGGUACAUAAAACUUUAUUACGUGUUGCCAAGCAUGCUAUUAUUUUCCGAGAAUUUAAGUAACUUAUUAAAAUGCUUUUGGGGUGAUGUCAGGGUGUAUAUAAUUAAAAUAUGCAUAUUUUGCUUUUUUUAGAAGUUUGAAAAAUGCUUUUCAGGCCAGACUCUUUUCAGCAGUUCCACACACAAAAACUAGAAGUAUGCAUUAUCUGACAUACACUGCCAGUGUAAUCUGUAUGUCUCCCAACCUGCAGCUAGUGUAACAUUUAGUUUGACUUACCUAAUGUUCCAAUAUCACAAUAUUGUAUAUUUUACCCUUUUUCCAAUAUUGGAAGCCAAAGCCUCUCCUCCUCCCAGAGGGGAGAUGUUGUGAGCGGGAGCCGUUCCUGAUUUAAGCGGCCGCGGCAGCCCCUGUGCCUCAUUCUGCUUCCUUGGAGUCUUCGGAUCACCCACCCACCUUCCCUUUAAGUCAUAUUUAUGCUUUGAACUUGCUAUGGACUUUGGUUGGUUGCCCUGGUUGGCCAGGGGGCCUGGUAGGAAUUUUUAUCCAUUUGGCAGAUUGGCACCAGCCUCUGGUUUUUUCGCCUAAAGGUAAAGGUAAAGGGACCCUUGACCAUUAGGUCCAGUUGUGGCCAACUCUGGGGUUACGGUGCUCAUCUUGCUUUAUUGGCCGAGGGAGCCGGCAUUUGUCUGCAGACAGCUUCCGGGUCAUGUAGCCAGCAUAACUAAGCCGCUUCUGGCAAACCAGAGCAGCGCACGGAAACGCCGUUUACCUUCCCGCUGGAGCGGUACCUAUUUAACUACUUGCACUUUGACGUACUUUCGAACUGCUAGGUUGGCAGGAGCAGGGACCGAGCAACGGGAGCUCACCCCAUCACGGGGAUUCAAAUCACCCACUUUCUGAUCAGCAAGUCCUAGGCUCUGUGGUUUAGACCACAGCGCCACCUGCGUCCUCGUAGCAAAUCAUCACAACUUCUCUAGUAUUGACGAUUAGGCAUUGGAAUAUGUGUUGUGUGUUGAUGAGCAGGGUGUGGCCAUCACCUACCCCUCCCCUUGUUGGGUAUUCCGUUAAAGGAAUCCAGCGGUCGUGGAUCCUGUCCGAUGCCCUGCUGGUGGCUAGGGCCAUGGCAUGACCCCCAGUGACAUCAACAAGCUCCUCCCACUGGUUGUUAACCUUCUAAUGACACACACACACCCCGCCGCGUGGGGUGGGGACAUACAUAGGUUGUUUGAUCCAAUGCCUAAGCCAAUACCACUCACACACUGUAACCAAUAAAGUUAUGGCCUUCUUUAGCCCAUUAACCUAAAAUACAUGUGUCCUCGUGUCUUAUUUUACCACUACAUGGACGGAGGGUCCUCGACUCACAACAAAGCAGAGCAGAGACAAGGAACCACAUUGAGAACAUCACAACAUUAAGUACUCAAAGGCACAGAGGAGAAGUGGAGAGCAAGGCAUGCACUUCUGCUUUGACAGCAGCCACGUAUUUGACGUCACAUAAUUCUGACCUACAAGCCUAUUUUCGAAUGUCCAAUUAUGUAUGUCAUGAUUGACACUACAUCCAGAGCAGUGCUGGGUUUCAACCAACAUUCAAGUCUUCACUCGGCUUCCACUGAACUUAAUUUUUAUUAACUGCAAGAGGCUGUUGCAUUUAUUUAGAUGCAACAGCCAUACUAGCAAUUCUGUGGAUGGGAGACUCUUCUUCUAUUGUGUACAAAUGAUGGAGCAGCAACGCACUUGUUGGCUUCUAUUUCAGCGUGCACGCAUCAUAAAAAACCAAACGUAAAUUCAUGAGAUCUUAAAAGAAAGGGAGCGCUGAUGUUUCAAUCAAGUGAUUAGCUAGAGAAAAGUGAAGAGAGAAAUCUAUGGGUUGCUGUGUCAAAUUUAAUUAAGUAUCUAAUACAUUAUGGUGUCCCUUUCCCCCAAGAUGAAACAAUGUUGAAAUAAUGUACCUUCAAUCAUGCAAUAAGGCGUGAGAGUCAGGACUAUAAACUUGCAAUUAUGUUUGACCUUAACAAACAGGCCAUGUCUCUCCCUCUCUCUCUUAGUGGAGGAGAGGGAUCUUAUUAAAAGGGGAUUUAUAGAAAAGGGGCACUAGAAAAAUGCAAAUGGCCCUCUAUCCUAACCCAGUUAUCGAGGCAGUAACAUAUAUAUACAAGUAUAUGCCUACCAUGCCAAAUCCUAAGAUCAAAUGUGCUUUGACGAUAAACUAAUUCUAGGAUAGCUUACCUAUCUUUAUAAGAGAAAAUUCACCCAUGAACCAAAGCUAAGCAGUUGACUCCUUACCUCUCUUGCCCUGACCUAGACACUGUGAUCCAUGCGACAGUCACCUCCAGGCUUGAUUAUUGUAACUCACUCUACGUAGGGCUGCCCUUGAGACUGACCCAGAAACUCCAGCGGGUGCAGAAUGCCGCGGUGAGACUCCUUACGGGGUCUUCGCCAUGGGAUCACAUUCACCCGGUGCUAUACCAGCUGCGCUGGCUCCCGGUGGAGUACAGGAUCAGGUUUAAGGUGCUGGUUUUAACCUUUAAAGCCCUAUAUGGCCUAGGACCCUCGUACCUAUGGGACCGCCUCUCCUGGUAUGCCCCACGGAGGACCUUACGGUCUUCAAAUAAAAACAUCUUAGAGAUCGCAGGCCACAGGGAGGAUAGGCUGGCCUCAACCGGAGCCAGGGCUUUUUCAGUCAUGGCCCCAAUCUGGUGGAACGCUCUGUCACAAGAGACUAGGGCCCUGCAGGACCUGACAUCUUUCCGCAGGGCCUGCAAGAUGGAGCUGUUCCACCAGGCCUUUGGCCAAGGCACAGUCUGACCCCCCCUCUCCUUCUGUAAUCCUCAUAGAACUCUAGCCCAAUGGUUACCAUUAAUUUGAUUCUGAAUUGAUUUUAGAAUGUAUUUUAAUUAAUUGACUAUAUGAUUUUAUGUAUACGAUGCUAUUUUUACUUGUUAGCCGCUCUGAGCUUUGGCGGGAUAUUAUUAUUAUUAUUAUUAUUAUUAUUAUUAAAAAAGCAUGGGAAUUUUAAAUUUCAAACCUUAAGCAUGGAAAUUGUAACUUCUACAUCAUGGGUUGGGUCCAUGCUUAGUCAUGCAUAUCUUAACUGCCACUGAUUCCAAUGGGUCUCUCUCUUCUAAGCAUGGCUAACUGUGGACCCAUAGUAAGAAUAAAUAUAAUCUGAAGUUUCACAGAUGGCUUUCAAAAUAGUUUCCAAUAGUUACAUUCAGACUUUUCUUUGAUCUUGCAACUCCAGUCCUCUUGUCUAUAGAGUGGAUGAAGCUCAGGAUACUAUGACGACAGUGCUUUCAUUGGAAUUAGAGUGAACUGCAUGCGUUGGUUGUGUGAGUGACAGAUUGUAAAGUUUGAUAGUUGGACAACCAGAGAGUGGGGCAAAUGGGCAGGUUUCCAUUUCAUUAUGAGACAACAGCAUACAAGUCAUAUAAAGGAGGAAUUAAGGAAAUCCUGCCUUUGGAAGUAAACAUGCAGAUAGAAUUGGCCUUUGCAACUGAUUAGCAUUGCUUAAAGUGAAUUAAUUAGAUCUUCAGAAUAUGGCAAUAAUGCUUGAAGAAUCCAGUCUUUAUGAAUUCUUAUAUAACCUGGGCUUUUUUUCAGCCGGAACUCACUGGAACUCAGUUCCAGCACCUCGCAGGUGGGCGCCGUUGCCAUUUUAAGAAAAUAAGGGAGGUGUUUAUGGCGCAUUCUGGCACCUAUUUAUCUAGAAAAAUAGGACUGCAUAUAACAUAAAUUGAUCUGCACCUCCCGGACUAAUGUGCAGUCUCAGAAACGUUUUUGAACAUAAAUACGUACACUCAAAAUUACGUAUUUUAAUAAGAAUGCUUAUGUGGUCCAGAAACUUAUUUUGCUGGAGGUGGUGGCUGUGGGCGCUCCCAGACCCUGCCAGGGACUGAACAAGGGUGACAAAAACUCCCAGCAUUUGGGAAAUUAUAUUCUGUUGGGUAAUAUAUACUCUGCAUGCCAUUUGGAGGUGCUCACCUCAGUGGGAACUCCGCAUAAAGCAUCAUUUUCCCAACAGACUGGAGCAAGAUGUAAUCUUAGUCCAGUACCAGUGAGAAGAUAUUCCCCUCAUCAGAGAUUCUUCACCAGAGCCUGGAAAUAAUCAAAGCUACAUCUGAUGCUCUGGACAUCACCUCUGCUUCCCCUGCCCCAAGGUAAGUUUGGGGGGGAGGGGCUGGUGAAAGAAAUGUCUGGCUGGAUUGGGACAAGAGGGACUAUGCUGACCCUGAUACUGCUUGCAAGGGGAUGUUAGGAUUAUCCUACUUUCGUGUAGGACCCUGGCAGAGACACAUGCCCGACUGGCAUGUUCUCUCCCUCCUGGUUGAUCGUUCGGGAGCUUCAAAAGCUUUCUCCAACCUGAACAUAACAGCAACUGAUACCAAGAAGCAUCAGCACACUUAGGGAUCUGCAGAGUAUUCGCAGUUUGCGUAACAGAACUCAGUAGCACAGCAUUUUGGCUAAUCUACUUUAUUUACAUAUAAUACACUCGGAGCAUUCUGCCUUAGCUCCUUCCUCUUUCUCAUCAGACAGCAAAAGAGAAAGAACAAAGGACAACAGUCCCACUUCAUGGAACACAGUAACACAAACAUCCUGUCUCCGUCACUUCCCACACUGUGGAAUGAAAACAUACACCGUCAUGUGAUAGACAACAAUCUCAUGACUGCAAACACGGAGCAGGAAUCCUAACAGGGGAAUCUACCUUUGCGAGCACCCUGAUCAAAACUUGUGGGCUCCUUCGUUGACGCCUUGUGAUUUUUUGAAAGGUUUUGUGUCGGCCACUUCUGGAAAGUUGGAGUAAUUCAGUUCUGCGGUUUCAUUCAGUUCAGCUCUUAUGUCUCAUGAAAUGCAACGUUAGGAUUGUGUGGUGCUGAGAAGGCAUAGUCAGCUGUAAAUACUGCUCUGUACUGAAGUGACAUUGCUAAGAUCCAGUUUUAUCAAGCAUAUCAUAACACAAACAGGGAUAAUGAGUCUAAGGCCAAUUUCAUACUAUGCAGAUGUGAUUAAAUCAGGUGGAACAGCCAGUAAUGAGGAAUAAUAAAGGACUUUGGUUUCUGAAAAGCUGUUCCUCAGCUCAUUUAUAGGAAAUCCAUCUUGACAAAGAUAGAUGUGAGAGGCCGAACUACUGAAAAUGGAGUGCAUUUUUAUAUCAGACCUUGCCAAUUCAAUCCUAGUGGAUCAGACGGCUGUGCAGGUGUAGUAUUGGGUUCAGAAUGAAAAUUGGAGAAGAGUUGAUGUGCCAUCUUAUACCAGAACUUUUUGCUGAAAUGAUACUGCACUGCUGGGUAGGUGGGAUAGAAUAAUAUACAUAUGGAGACUUCUUUGUUGUGACACUGGUACAAUGUUGAUGAGCCAGUUUAGGAUGUGUUUGGUGGGAAAUAAGAGAAGCAGAAAAUUCCUGAAGAGCCACUGAAUUUAGAAAAUUAGACUGAUAUGAUGUAUUAGUACCCUUGAAGGGGAAGAAAUACUCCCAAUUUUUGGAAUUGCGGUUUAAUUUAAAGUUGAAUAUCACUGAUCAUCUGUGUUUCCUCACUGGUCCAUACGACUUGUUUAGCCAACAUUGUCCUCAUUCUAAAUAAGUUUCAUUUAAUCAAAUAUCCAAUCUAAAUGCUUAUUUUAUUUAUUUAAUUAAUUAAAUUCGUACACUGCCCUUCACCCACCAAUCUCAGCGCAGUUCACAACAUAAAAUUACACCACAAAAAAACGCAAAAUACAGAAUAAAAGCAAGAACAAAAACAAACAAAAAAUCCCCUCUCCCAUAACACAUUUAAAAGGGCAUCAGAUGUCAAUCAGCCAAAGGGAAUGUUGGAGGGUAUGCAAGGGGUUCAGAGGGCGGCUCAAAAGGAAUGUUUUCGCCUGGCACCUAAAAGUGUGUAAUGAAGCCGCCAGCCGAAUCCCCCUGAAGAGAGAAUUCCACAAACGGGGAGCCACUGCAGAAAAGGCUCUUUCUCAAGUUGCCACCCUCUGAAACUCUUGCAUACCCUCCAACAUUCCUCAGACAAUAAGAUAGGUUCCAGGAUAAGGUCCUUUUUUCGAAGAUAACACCUCAAAAAUGUUGCCGUUUUCAUAACUGGGAGGACUUGGGGAAUGUUUAUCUUCCCAGAUAAGUUAUCCGAGAAGAUAAUAUCACUGCAAGGAUCCAAAAUUAUAGAACUGGAGAAGAGAACUCAAAAUGAGAAAAAAAGAUAAAAUUUUGGAGAAAAUAAAAGAGGGUGAGAAGAAACUGAGAGCGAAACCAAAGUCACAAGAGAUUCUGAGAGAAAUAAAAUUACACCAAGUUCAAUAUAUGAAGAUGAUGAAUCAGGAAAUAGAAUGGUAAAUUAAACAGAUGAGACAAAGGACAUUUGAAUUGGCCAAUAAAUGUGGAAAACUGUUGGCUUGGCAAAUGAAAAAAAGACAAAAACUUAACACCAUUACCAACUUGGAAGUAGAAGGAAAGAACAUCCAGAAUCCAGUGGAAAUUAGAAAAUGCUUCCAGAGGUACUUUAAACAGUUAUAUACACAAGGGCCACAGAAAGAGUUUGAUUUAGACCAAUUCUUAAAAACAAAUGGACUACAAAAAAUCUCUCAAGAGAAUAAUUUAAUGUUGAACUAUAAAAUAACAAAACAGGAGGUGGAAGGUGCCAUCCAGAACAUGCAGUUGGGCAAAUCUCCAGGGCCAGAUGGCUUAACCUCGAAAUAUUAUAGAUCUUUGAAGGAUUGGAUAAUUCAACCACUAAAGGAGGUUUGUAAUGAAAUUUUGGAGGGGGAAAAAGCGCCAGAGUCAUGGAAGGAAGUUUAUAUUACACUAAUACCUAAAAAUGAGUCUGAAAAGACACAACUUAAGAACUACCACCCCAUAUCCCUGCUUAAUGUGGAUUAUAAAAUUUUUGCAGAUAUUUUGGCUAAAAGGUUAAAAAAAGUAUUAGCAGAGGAGAUACAUAAAGACCAAGCUGGCUUUCUCCCGGGUAGACACUUGUCUGACAACACGAGGAAUAUAAUCAACAUUUGGAGGUGUUGCAAGUGAAUAUUAAUACUAAAGCAGUUUUAAUUUUUGUAGAUGCGGAGAAAGCCUUUGAUAAUAUUUCUUGGAGUUUCAUGAAGAAAAAUCUUCAGGGGAUGGGGGUUGGUCAAGGGUUUGAAAAUGGUAUAAGUGCAAUUUACUCAGAACAAAAGGCUAAACUAAUAGUUAACAAUGUGGUGACAGAGGAAUUUAAGAUAGAGAAAGGGACACGACAAGGCUGCCCAAUUUCCCCAUUGCUUUAUUUCGGUCCUGGAGGUUCUGCUAAAUAUGAUCAGAAGGGACCGUCUGAUCAAAGGUAUACAGGUCGGAGCCAAACAGUACAAAUUGAAAGCUUUUGCAGAUGAUUUAGUAUUGACGUUACAGGAGCCAGAAUCUAGUACUAAAAGAGUAAUAGAAUUGAUUCAAGAAUUUGGUCAAGUGGCAGGAUUUAAGUUGAACAAGUUAAAAACUAAGGUGCUUGAGAAAAAUUUAACACCGAUUGAGAAAGAGAGGUUUCAGAAGGAGACAGGUUUAACAUUGGCUAAGAAAGUAAAAUACCUGGGGGUUAAUAUGACCGCUAAGAACUUAAACCUAUUUAAAGACAAUUAUGAGAAAUGUUGGUCAGAAGUGAAAAAGGAUCUAGAGAUAUGGUCAAACUUGAAGCUUUCCUUGUUAGGUCGAAUUGCUGUUAUAAAGAUGAAUGUAUUGCCAAGAAUGUUAUUUUUGUUUCAAUCAUUGCAAAUCUUGGACAAAAUGGACUGUUUCAAGAAGUGGCAGAGAGACAUUUCUAGAUUUGUUUGGCAGGGCAAGAAGCCCAGAAUAAAAUUUAAAAUAUUAACUGAUGUAAAGGAAAGAGGUGGAUUUGCCCUGCCAGACCUUAAACUUUAUUAUGAAUCAGCAGCAAUCUGCUGAUUGAAAGAAUGGCUGCUUCUUGAGAACACAGACAUUUUGGAUCUAGAAGGUUUUAAUAAUGUUUUUGGGUGGCAUGCAUAUUUGUGGUAUGACAAGGUUAAAGCACAUAAAGCAUUUAAAAACCAUAUUGUUAGGAAAGCAUUGUUAAAUGUCUGGAUAAGAUAUAAGGACUUACUCGAAAAUAAAACCCCAAGGUGGCUGUCACCGAUGGAAGCAAAGGCACAGAAAAAACUCAAUAUGGAGGCCAAAUGGCUGAAAUAUUGGGAAAUUUUGGAACAAGAAGGAGACAAAUUGAAAUUGCAGAGUUUUGAGAAAUUAAAAGACAAAGUGCGAGACUGGCUUCACUAUUAUCAAAUAAGGGAGGCUUAUAAUUUGGACAAAAAAAUUGGCUUUCAGGUGGAAAAAUCAAAAUUGGAAACAGAACUGUUAGAUCCCAAAACAAAGAUACUUUCAAGAAUGUAUAACUUGCUGUUGAAAUGGAAUACUCAGGAUGAAACGGUUAAAUCGGCUAUGAUCAAAUGGGCACAAGAUGUUGGACAUAACAUUAUGUUUGCUGACUGGGAACAGUUGUGGACUACAGGUAUGAAAUUUACGGCAUGUAAUGCCCUAAGAGAGAAUAUUAUGAAAAUGAUAUAUAGGUGGUACAUGACACCAGUCAAGCUUGCAAAAAUCUAUCAUUUGCCCGAUAACAAAUGUUGGAAAUGUAAAGAAAACGAAGGUACAUUCUUUCACCUUUGGUGGACGUGCCCAAAGAUUAAGGCUUUCUGGGAGAUGAUCUAUAAUGAAUUGAAAAAGGUAUUUAAGUAUUCCUUUCUAAAGAAACCAGAGGCCUUUCUGCUGGGCAUAGUCGGCCAAUUGGUGCCAAAGAAGGAUAGAACUUUCUUUAUGUAUGCCACAACAGCAGCAAGAAUACUUAUUGCAAAGUAUUGGAAGACACAAGAUCUACCCACCUUGGAAGAAUGGCAGAUGAAGGUGAUGGACUAUAUGGAAUUGGCGGAAAUGACUGGCAGAAUCCGAGACCAGGGAGAAGAAUCGGUGGAAGAAGAUUGGAAAAAGUUUAAAGACUAUUUACAGAAAUAUUGUAAAAUUAAUGAAUGUUAGAAUGAUGUUGGAUAGAAACUAAGUGGUUUGUAGCUGUAAUGUUGUAUAAGGGAAUAUGAAAAAAUGGAUUAUUAAUAGGUAAAAAUCUAAUGUUACAAUAUUUUAAGAUUAAAGACUAGGAUAAACAAAGAGGGGAGGGAUUUGCUGAACUAACAAACUGAAUUGGAAUACAAAAAAGGGAGGCAUGAGGAGGUCCAGGAAAUAAGCAAAUGAAAGAUAAGUAACGGAAAGAUUGAAUUGUUUUUAACUAUUUUUAUUUUGUAUUUUUGUAUUUUUCUUUUUUCUUUUUUUCUUUUGUAAUAUUUUGAAAAUCUUAAUAAAUAUCUUAAAAAAAAAAAAUUAUAGAACUGGAACUCUUGCUGCCUGUGGGUAAGGGCCAGACACCCUAUCUCACCCUGUGCCACAGCCCCGAUCCAAUUCAGGGGCCCACAGCAUCUUUCUGAAGAAGAUUUGAUUACUUGCCAAACACGUGGUUUCAGUGGCAACUCCUCCUAAGCACCACAAUGGACAGUCUCGGCCUUCUCUCGACGAUGCGAUGUUGCAGGAACACUGAGCAUGGCAUCACACACAUAACACACACUGGGCUCUCUCAAUCUUGGGUGCAAGUCGGCACCUCUGUAUUCACACACAUUGUGCAACAUAAUGGUUCUCUUUCCACUCUCCCCGACCCAGACAACUGGCUUAUUGAGUAGUAGACAAGCACAUUUUGGUCAAUUAUGACCUGAUAACUGGUGUUCUGUGUUUAUUAUCUCCUGAUCUUGAAUCACUGUCAAAUCCAUGUGCCGUUGAUGAUGAAUAAUUCAUGGAAGAACAUUAAGCUGCCCAUAAUUUAGUUCAGGUCAAAUCAAGUCAAGCAGUAAAAGCUUGCAAAUAAAAUGGUUUUCUUCCAUGCAGUGGCUUUCCUCUCCUCUUCCCAUUUAUUAUCAGUUUCGCAUUAGCUAGUGGAUGCUAAUGCCAUUUGAAUAUGAGAGCGACAGCAACAUGAUUGUCUGUGAUCCAGCUGUGAAUACUACAGACAGGCAUCCAUUUCCCCACUUAAGUAAAUGAGAGAGUAGCAUCUCCAGCACUCUCUUUUUUAAUUAGGUAGGUCAGUGCUUCCCAGACAUCUGAACUGAGGCACACUUUCCCCCCCUGAAUUAAAAGUAAAUCAACACUUCACCCUUGCAAUCCCAAAAGGAUUCAUUUCACAAGUGCACUUGCCUUCAGAGGAUUCCUCCUCCUAGAUUUCUGCACGAGUAGACAUGGUGACUCAUAAUAGCCCAUGUGUCAAAGGAGAUGCAAGGUCUUCAUGCUCCUCAAUUCUUCAGAGCCAGCGUGGUGUAGUGGUUAAGAGCGGUGGACUCGUAAGCUGGUGAACUGGGUUUGCUUCCCCGCUUCUCCACAUGCAGCUGCUGGGUGACCUUGGGCUAGUCACACUUCUUCCAUGCUUAAGGUUUGAAACUUAAAAUUCCCAUGCUUAAUAAUAAUAAUAAUAAUAAUAAUAAUAAUAUUUUUUUUUUAUUUAUAUCCCACCCUCCCCGGUCAAAGCCGGGCUCAGAGUGGCUAACAAGUAAAAAUAGCACAGUAUACAUAAAAUCACACAGUCAAUUAAUUCUAAAAUCAAUUCAGAAUUAAAUUAAUGGCAACCAUUGGACUAGAGUUCUAUGAGGAUUACAGAAGGAGAGAGGAGGUCAGACUGUGCCUUGGCCAAAGGCCUGGUGGAACAGCUCUGUCUUGCAGGCCCUGCGGAAAGAUGUCAAGUCCCGCAGGGCCCUAGUCUCUUGUGACAGCAUUCCACAAAUCAGAACCACAGCCGAAAAAUCCCUGGCUCUGGUUGAGGCCAGCCUAACCACUCUGUGGCCUGGGACCUCCAAGUUGUUUUUGUUUGAAGACCGUAAGUUCCUCUGUGGGACAUACCAGGAGAGGCGGUACCGUAGGUACGUCAUCCCCAGACGGCAUGAGUUCAACAAGGACGAGUCCUUUCUGAUCUCAGCCAGGAGGGAGUUCCACAGAACUGGGGGGCUGCACUAUUGAAUUCCCAGCUCCUGUGAAUAGAAGCCAUGAAUCUGAGCUAUGGUGGACCACUAGCAAUGACUCCACUGAAGACCUUAGUCCAGGAUAUAAGGAAUAAGAUGGUCCUCAAGGUGUCUUGGAACCAAGUUAUUAAGGACCUUGUAAAUUAAUACAAGAACAUUGAGCUUGGGCCAGCAGCAUAUGAGCAGCUAGUCCAAGCUCUUAAGCACUGGAGUUAUGCGCUGGCAGCACUCUGUCUCCUCCGACAGUCUAGACACAGCAUUUAGCACCAGCUGAAGCUUCUGAACCAGACCAAAGGGUAGCCCCACACAGAACACAUUGCAAUAAUUUAGUACUGAGGAGUGAUAAAGUGAUCUCACCACACUGAAUGCCAUCUCCUGUCCCAACAAGAGUCACGGCUAGAGCAGUGUCGCAUGCAGACACAAUAGAUCCAGCCUUCUCUCAGUGCUGGGACUAGCAGGGAUCUGAAAUUGUUUAAUUUCUUGCGACACACAGUCACGUCCUAGCACUCUGUUUGGAAAUUAAGGAGCUUGGGAAAAAUACAUGUCAUGGGUCUGCAGUCUCCCCUGGGACCACUUAUAGUGUUAUGUUUGGGUGGUAAACAAUGUUAAAUUGUUUGCAGACUCUUUUCUUUUUCUCUGAAAAAAAUCUUUUUUUUGGGGGGGGCAGAGCACAAAUUCUAGUCUUGGGUUCAUGCAUAUCCCCUGAGAAGAAUGCUGUUUUAUGUCUCUCACACCUUAAAACUUUCAAAGGAUGGAGACAUUUUCUUUUGAAAAGCUCACUGUCCCCCAAAGCACACUGAAAGCUUUGUGUCAUUUCCACACCCGACCCUCAGCUAACAGUGUGACUGGGGACAUCUGAACCAUGGAGACAAACAAUUAGGCCUUUGAUGGAGGAUGCUUCAGAUUCUUUUCUGCCUUCAGGCACAUAUGCAUGAUAGCAAACAAAGCCACUUGAAAUAUCAGGGUAAUAAAUAUUGGUUUGUUUUAAGUGUCCUUCAAGCAAAGAUGUAUAGUAUAAUAUGGAUAUCUGGUAGGUAUCUGGUUUUAAAGGACAAAAACAGAUUUGUUGUUAUUGUUGUUUAGUCAUUUAGUCGUGUCUGACUCUUCAUGACCCCAUGGACCACAGCACGCCAGGCACUCCUGUCUUCCACUGCCUCCCGCAGUUUGGUCAGACUCAUGCUGGUAGCUUCGAGAACAUAAUCCAACCAUCUCGUCCUCUGUCGUCCCCUUCUCCUUGUGCCCUCCAUCUUUCCCAACAUCAGGGUCUUUUCCAGGGAGUCUUCUCUUCUCUUCUCAUGAGGUGGCCAAAGUAUUGGAGCCUCAGCUUCAGGAUCUGUCCUUCCAGUCAGCACUCAGGGCUGAUAUCCUUCAGAAUGGAUACGCUUGAUCUUCUUGCAGUCCAUGGGACUCUCAAGAGUCUCCUCCAGCACCAGAAUUCAAAAGAAUCAAUUCUUUGGCGAUCAGCCUUUAUGCUCCUGCUCUCACUUCCAUACAUCACUACUGGGAAAACCAUAGCUUUAAGUAUACGGAAAACAGAUACCUACCAGUACAAAUGUUGGGUUUGGUGAGAAAAGAAUUCACAAUUGGCCACAAUAACAAAAUAUGUUCAUUUGGAUGAAAUAAACUGGGCAGAUCCCCCCCCCCCCCCGUUUUUAAUAGUAGCACCAGCUAUGCCAGAUGAGGACAGAUUAAGUCCUUCUCUCAGUUCUUACCACACAGAGCUAUUGAGAUUGCAGGUUAAAUGUAAUCUGUGGGGCACUUCAUACACACCAUGGUGGUACAGAAACUAUCAUCUGUCAUGGUCAGUUCAGAAAUGGAUACACAGUAUCAACUGUGUGGAUCAUUUUCUAAGCCAGUAUUGGCCUCCCAAGUUCAUGGCUGGUCAACAGCUAGGUUUGAAGGACCUACCUGACUGAUAUCACCCACAUGAUACUGGCAUGUUAAAUAUUGCCACAAGCCACAGAAAGGCAGUUCCCUCACCCACAGUAACACAUGAAGGAACCACGGUUAACUAGCUUUUAUUUAAUACCAUCACCUCCCAAAUCAGUCCUUGGUGAACUUCAAAAAAUAAUGCCUCCGGACACUUGGUCACCGUGUUUCUUUAAAUCAAUUUCUCAUUUUAUGAAAAGGGCCGUGAAAAUACAUUGGCCAUCCUUUUAAAAGGAAGUCAAAACUUACCUACAAAAGACUCCAGCACCCACUGCAAUUUGGCAAAUCAACUACUGCUUCAGCUGAAUCCCAGCUGUUCUGGGUGGAAUUGGCCUUGAUGUGCCUGCAAGAAGAUGAAAAUACCUUCAGCCAGCUGUGACCAUCUUGCUCAUUCAUUUGUUGAUAAAACAACUCAAAUUCAAUCUGACAUCCCUGUUUGGGCAGUGUCUGCGCUGGGGUGGUCCAAGGCACCCACAUGUUACUUUUGCAUGGAUCACUUUGACAUUGUGACCUUCAAGGAAAUUGAUGGGCAGCUGAGUGUUAUGAAUGCCACAACAUGUGGAAUGGACUCCUGACCUAUCAUAGUUAGUGAAGGGCUGGUCAGGGUGAAAGCUGGAAGAUUUGCUAUGAAAACACCUCCCAUAGAUCAUUGGGUUGGGGGGCAGUUUUCCCAUUUAUUAAAACAAGUGAUCUCUUACUUCCACCGUGACAAUUUUGCUGGCUAUAGGCAAGUGUCCAAAUUCUUCUGCUUUUGGAAGAAACUGAUGGAAUGUAUGGUGACAGAGCAACUCCAGGGCCUUAUGCAUGACUCACCUCUCCUCAGGCCUUUCAAUCUGGUUAUGGAACCAAGACAGCUUUCGCUGCAUUGGCAGACAAUCUUUGUUUGAAGGUAGAUAGAUGAUAGAUAGAUUUUUUAAAAAAUCUGUUUUCUUCUUCCUUGACCUUUUAGCAACAUUUUACAUGGUUUUUUAUUGUACAGUUUUAUGUGCAACUGUUGUAAACAAUCUGAAGCUCAAUCCAGACAAAACAGAUGAGGCUAGUUGGGGGAUCUGAAUAUCAGGAAAUAUGCAAUCUACCUACUGUCACCAGUGUACAUGCUUCUCAGAUGAAUCUAAGACAUCUUGCUUAGAUUUACUGUUGUUGGAUAAGUGGGUGGCAAGAGCAUGUAGGAAUCUCUUUUUCCCCCAGCUACAUUCGGUACACUGAUGGCAUCCUUUUGUUAAAAAGGAAGUUCAAACAACAACAUGCUUCCAUAACCUGAAAAAUUGGACAGUUAUAAUGCAUUUUAUGUGAAUCUAUAUAUAAGUUUAUUGUUCUAAGUUGCUUUUGGGAUAUAUGGGCUUUAGAAAGCAAGAACGCAAGCAAGAAGCAUAGGCUUUCUGGGUCUGCGACUAACGUAUCUCAGAGAGAGGACCUCAACCCAUAUUAAUCCAUUCAUCUUUGAUAGGCCUGCUGCGAGUCCCUUCCACCUUGGCAGAUCAUGUUGCCAACAAUAUGGAGAAGGGCCUUGUGCCAGAUGGGAAGAGGUGUCAUUCCACACAGUCAGAUGUUUGAUCAGUGUUCUUCACUUUAGUUGCCUUCCAAAUGCUACCUACUUAUCUAAAUCCUUGGUAACACGGAGGGAAGAAUAUGGUUUAGUUUGUGCAGUGUUUCUGUUUUAGAUCUUAAUACUCCCCGUGAUAGAGUUUAGUUUUGUCUGCGUACUUCUGUGAGGUACCCCACCUUUCUUGACAGCCUCAAUGCGGAUAACAAUAACUACAAUAAUACACGAACAAAGAAAACAGCAGGUUAAAAAGGUACAAUAAGUAAACUGCCAGCAGCACAAAUGAAUCAGCUAUCUGGCAAUUUAGAGGGGACAGAUGUCAUAAAGUCCAGGAAGAAUAGGGCAGUUUUCACUUAGCACCUAAAAUGCAUUAAAGAAGGAACCAGGCAAUAACAUUUGAAAUGGGAUAUGCAAAGUAUUGAAGCCAAUACUUUGAAUUGAGUCUGGAUACAAGCUGGCAGGGAAGUCCUUUUAGCAUUUGUAUAAUACUAAGAAAGUCCCAAAUAAUAAAUGGAGAGAGCCCCAAAUAAUAAACCAGAGGACCCCAAAUAAUAAACUAGACUUGGAACCAGUUGCAUUUUCCAGAUGCAUUUCAAAAGUAGUCCUCCCUGCCAUGAAAUAUAGAAACCAAGUCAGUCUGGAAGUUAUCAGAGCAUGGAUAACUGUGGCAAGAACAUCUCUCUCAAAACCUGAUGAAAGGUGCUGAUGGGCUACACAACAUCCAGCUGCAAUGGCUGAUACCGAAAAGGGAGAGUGUGAUCCUGCUUAGAAUAGGUUGAAUGACACUUCCCAGGAGUUAUAAACCAUAAACCAGCAACAUCUUUCUCUUGUUGGGUUGAGCUUUCUUGCAGUUUGUUCCAUUAUACAAAAACAUUUUAAAUGGAUGUGAGCUAUUUUGAGCGAUUGUGGAAAGUGGGGGAUAUAAAUAUUGUAAGUGAACGAGCAAACAUAUUCAGAAUUAAGGAACAGCAGUGGCUAAGAGUGCUUUGAACAUUCCCCAAAGCUAUAUAAAUGCUGUUGAUGAUUUUAACAUUUUGCUUCAUCCCUUCCUAAGACCCUAAAUAACAACAAGAACAAAGACACUCUGCAUUUAACAUUUCUAAAUCACUUCAGUCAAAAAUCUCCCUCCUGUCUGCUAAAGACAACUCCCCCAAGCAGCUGUGAAUAAUAUUUUAAGGAAUGAUCAAUGUUUUCUCGUCAGUAAUGUAUCCUUUGUGGGAAAAUGUCUCUCUUUCUUCCUAAGGCUCACUGUUGAAUUUAUACAGCCAAAGAUUUGAUGAAUGUAAGCUAAUAAAACUAUAGUGUGGUCAUUCUUGAUUCAUUAUCUUAAUCUUAUCAUUAAGUGUAUGAAGACUUUUAGGAACAGAUAAGCUUUCUUUCUUUCUUUCUUUCUUUCUUUCUUUCUUUCUUUCUUUCUUUCUUGCAGGCUUAUUCAUGUUAUGUUUCCAAGUUCUUUUCUUAAUAUCCAAUUUCUCUGUUAGAACCCAUCUACUGAAAUCCCUUAAACAAAAAUUUGUAUCAGUAACAUCUGGCUAUUAAGAAAAGAACCUGGAAACAUAACCUUGGAACUAUAGAAACAUUUUACAGUUUAAAAUGUGUGUGUGUGUCCACACACGCAUGGAUAAUUGCGGGCAGAAGACUUGAAGGGUCUUAUAUUGGAUAUGGACUUGAACAUCUUGGCUGAUAAUAAACAUUUGAUGAUAAACCAGCCAAAUGUGCUGUUGGACAGCUCAUCCUUAUGAAUGCAAAACUUCCAAUCUUUCCCAGAGGGCCGAAAGGGGGGGACGACUGCAGCACUCUGAAUGUUAUUACUGUGGGAUAACCAGCCUCUUAUAGCCAACCUGCUUUAAUUGAUGCAUGAAGGAGUCAAUACCACAGAAUAAGCUGUCCUGUCAGGUUUUGCUGGGUCAUCUCCCCUCACCUUGGGAGGAAAUAGGUAAACAAACCUAUUGUUUUCCCCUCGUCUACCUGAGAAGCUCAGCAUGUGAAGAGGUUUGAGAUGUUUGUUCCAGCUCAAGCCACAUGGCUCUCACCAGUCACUCUUGAGUUCCUAUAUCAAUAAUUUAGGAACCUGCAUUAGGUUUUACUGCCUGUGCAACUUUUGGGGAGUUUGUAAGAAAACCAUUUUUUAACUUGCCAAAUGUGUGGUCUUUUUCCUAUGCUGGGGGAUGAGGGAAACUUUGGAAACAAACUUUUAAAGGGGACAUUUUGGAACUCACUUGUAGGGGUAUAUUUUGCUGAUUUAACAGCCUAUAUUUCCCUGUUUUACUUUGUUGUGUACUUUGUCACUUUCAUUCUCUACCGAGCUUCUCUCAUAAAAUACAGUAGUUUUCGAAUGCUGAAAACCUGGAAGUAAAUGCUUCGGUUUUCAAACAAGUCUCAGAAGUCAAACAUGCUACGCAGCUUCAACUGAGUGCAAGAUCUGGAAGCCUAGCUGUCGGCUAUUGAGGUUUUGGUUUUUGAACGUUUCGGAACUUGAACGGUCUUCCAGAAUGGAUUAAGUUCGAAAACCGAGGUACCACUGUAGUAUUUGCCCCAAACUUGGAUCUUGUGUCAUGACUGGUUAGAUGAAGAGGAAUGGAUUCGGGGAACCAGCUGGAGGACCACCAAGGGAGAAGGCUCAGAGUCAGGGCAGUGUUGGUGGGACAAUGAUAAGUGCUCAGAGGGAGAAGAAGGAGAAGAUUGGGAAGAGGAGGUAUCAGAAGCUGAAGAGGUAACAGGGCCUAGUGAGCUGGGAGAGUCCAGAACUUGAAGCAGGAGAGUGGGAUGAGGGAGACCAGGAGUCAGAGAUGAGUCAGGCAGGUGGACAGUCAUGGCUGUUUCCUCAUCCUGCUGUAAUAAGCGCCACUCCCGACUUGUCAGUCAGAACCAGAAGACGCAUGAAAAGGAUGGAGGAUAGGUUGGCUGCAUGCAGACCUGGUGUCUGAUUGCUUGGGAAGGCCCUGGAAAGGAGGGGAUUGGCGGGCAGUCUCAACAACUGAGUUUCAAGAAGACCAUGGGAAUGAGCUGCUAUGCUCAUUAGACUUGACACUCAGACAAGUCUGUGGAAAUCAUGUUUUUGCUAGUAAAGAGUUAACUCCAACUUUGAACUGUGUGAUUACUGACCAGGAUGCUCCUAUGAUAUCUUGGCAUGCAGGAAUUCUCCUUUUAUACCUUCCCUCACCCCUUGAACCAACAAUUACUAAUCUCUAGCAUUUUGCCCAGUAAAUGGUACCUUACUGGAUUUUAUUUUCAGUUGAUAUAAUUCUAAUUCCCCUCAUCAAGGCACUUGAUAAUAUUAGACUAAUUCAGAAACACGUGAUACAAUGGUUGCUUCACAUUGUUCUUGCUGAAGCAAAUCAAUCAGCAAAGUCCUGGAAACUAUAAAUAUACUCAUAAAAAUAUCAACAUGAUUGAUCUUUGCAUCAGCAUUCACAACAGACACCAUCUGUGGGCUUGAGUAGGUCAACUUCUCUAAGAAAAUAGAGUGUUUCAGAAUGGACUUUUGUGCAAGAAAAUGCAGAAAUCUGAAGUCACCACACUACUUACAAGGAAAACUGUGAUUGUUUGUUUAGAAUAUAAUGCCUCUCCCACCCAUCUAUUAAAAACCUAAUAUUUUAUUAAACACAUUCUUGGAUUUGCUGUGAAAAUUUUGCAUAAGGAAAACCUGAGGUGAAUUGGGAAGUUCCAUCCUGCUUAGAUGAAAUAUCUGAGUGAUUUUGGAGAAAACCCAGAUAUAGUUUCUGAUAAGAUCAGAAAAAAUUCAGGGAUGCUUCACAUAUGGGACGUAAUGAAUUUUCUCUGCCCGGCAGCGAAUUUUGGGAGAAAGGUAUAUGCAACUGUAAUUGAUUCUGGUGUUUUACGCUCUCUCUCGCUCUCUCUGUGCGUGUAAUGUGCUAUGUGUUCUAAUAUUGUUCUGUAAACCACCUUGGCAUUUCUUUGAAAUGAAUGGCAAUAGACAGAUAAUUUGAAUGAAUGAAUGAAUGAAUGAAUGAAGGCUGAGCUGACCUUCCUCCAUUGUUUGUCUUGCUAAUGGGCAGUGAAAUGGGAGGCCAUUUUGGCCAUUUUCAGCUAGGAGAGGGCAAAAUCCAGCAGCCAGGUGGUAGCCAUCCGUUCCCCAAGUCCUUUCAGAAUAAUGUCAUGCUGAGAAAAGUUCCAAAGGAAAGAUCAGUGCCAUCAGCCACUUAGAAGAAUGGCAACAAAUAAAGCUGAGUGAAGGGAGGUGAUUUGGUGGCAUCUCUCACUGUCCUGACACACAUACAUAGACACAUUUCGAAAUUUUGCUCUCAGCCUAAUGUGUACUUUGUUGCUCUUGAUUAUUUUUAAUUGGACUCCUGCUGCGGUGAAGCUGACAUGGAUCCCUUUCAGACUUUGCCUUUAGAGUUAUUCAGUUUCACUACACUGGAAGAGCACUCAGAUAUCUCACCAUGUUUAUCUGAUAGCCAAGAUCAGAUAAAGAGGACUUAUUUCUAAAUUAAAGCACAUAAGUUGGCCCUUGGCCAUUGUGGAGUGCCAUAAAAAAUAUUUAAAUAUCCUCAGGAAAGCCACAUCAUAAAUAGUUUCAGACCAUCGCCAUCAUCAUAAUUUAUUAUUUAUACCCCGCCCAUCUGGCUGGGUCUCCCCAACCACUCCGGGCAGCUUCCAAUAGAAUAUUAAAAUACAAUAGUCUAUUAAACAUUAAAAGCUUCUCUAAACAGGGCUGCCUUCAGAUGCCUUCUAAAAGUCUGAUAGUUGUUCUUCUCUUUGACAUCUGGUGGGAGGGCGUUCCACAGGGUAGGUGCCACUUCCAAGAAGGCCCUCUGCCUGGUUCCCUGUAACUUGGCUUCUCACAGCGAGGGAACCACCAAAAGGCCCUCGGCACUGGACCUCAUAGAGCUCAUCAUAUAUCCAAACAUCCUGGUUAUGGUUUUGUAUGCUAGCCAUGAGUAGCUGGUGAAAAUCCUGGAGGUUAUGGUCAGUUUCAUCCAUUGUUGGACCUUACAGCCUUAGGAAAGGAGGCAGGAGGCAUGACUCCCUGUAGUUGGGUAGGCAUUAAAGCAAAUCUGCAGAGAUCCCUGAGCCAAGAAAACACAGUCAGACCUGUGUUUGUUGUCGAGGCAAAAUCUCAGCUUGAUCUGGCAGCUCAAGGUCAAGAGAAACCAGUAGUUCUUGAAUGCAUAGGGUAUAUCCUGGGAUAUUUCAGACACACAGCCUAACCUGCGUUGCUCAGCAGAGUUCAGAUCCAACAGUUCCCACUUCUAACCCUAGUGGCUGCUAAUGGUUUUAGGUUUCAAGGAGAAAGUAGUUUGCUUGCUCAUUACUCUAUGUCAGGCUUCCUCCACCUCGGCCCUCCAGAUGUUUUGAGACUACAGUUCCCAUCAUCCCUGACCACCGGUCCUGCUAGCUAGAGAUCAUGGGAGUUGUAGGCCAAAAACAUCUGGAGGGCUGAGGUUGAGGAAGCCUGCUCUAUGUGGUACCCAACUAAGUUUUACUCAGAGUGAACCCACUGAAAUUAAUGAACCCAGCUUUGUCAUGUUUCUUAAGGCCAAGGGGUGAAUUCUGAGUAAAGCAUAGCUGAAUGAGAACAUAAGAUGAGGCGCCUGGAUCAAGUCUAUGCCCCAUCUAGCUCAACAUCCUGUGGCCACCCAUAUGCCCAUUGGAAGCCUACUACUAAGACAACAGCAGUCUACCACCUGCGAUUAUCAGCAGCUGGCACUGGGAGGCAUAACGCCUCUGACUGUGGAGACUGGUAACCUCCCCCUACUGUCAGGGGGCCACAUAACACUAGUGGAGAUGGCCAAUGUAUAGACAUAAUACACAUGCAUAACAAACACAUGCACUUGGUACACUCAGUGCCACAGCACUGAGAUCAGAGGUAAGUCCUUUAGGGGAAAAGAGUGUGCCCAUUAGAAAGGAUCUCUAAAGAGCAGGCGGAUGGAUUUAUCUCUCAAUCUUUGUGCUAAGCACUAUUGUGCUAAGAUCAGAGAUAAAGCUGUCUGUUCUUUAAGACUAAAAGGCACCCUCACCCUAAUGCUGGAGGAUCUUAAAAGAGUAGACAAACAGCCUUAUCUCUGAUCUUAGCACUGUGGAGCUUAGCGCUAAGAUCAGAGGGGGGAAACAUUCCUGUGGUUGCUCUUUAGAGAAGGGGCUGGUUUACAUAUGCUUUUUCGUCACCUAAUUACUUUAACAUCAAGUGGCGACUUACGUGUGUGCCUGAGUCAGCACAGAUCAAACACCACGGAAAUAAGUUUCUUAUUAGUGCACAUAACUUCACACAUAGUGCUUGUCAGUGGAGUCUAUUUACAUGCACUGAGAUGCAAUUGUUGACUGAUCAAGUGAUGUACAUGUAUAUAUGGGCCUGCCCACACCAUACCUAGGUAAACAUGGGGAGGGCUGCUUCUGUCUCUCAACACAUUGGUGGUGUGCUAUUUAUUGCGCAGGCAGCAAUUUUUAGAUACUGCUGCAACCAAAUGCCCUUUGAAGCAUUAAUGCAAAAUAAGUCACCAGUGGUAUCCAAUAACAACCAAAUUAUUUGCAUAUAUAUGAGAGUUGAUUGCCCUUGUAGUUUUCGUUUUAAUGUACAGCUUGAACCUAAACUACAUUAGUUGGAUUUGGAGCCCAAUCAAUCCCAUCCUCCUUUCCAUGUUGACGGCUGCUCCACAAAGGAGUGUUGGUUGUGAGGUUCUUACGUGACAAAUGGGACGUGGGCGGUGCUGUGGUCUAAACCACUGAGCCUCUUGGGCUUGGAGAUCAGAAGGUCAGCAGUUCGAAUCCCCGCCACAGGGUGAGUUCCCGUUGCUCUGUCCCAGCUCCUGCCAACCUAGCAAUUCAAAAGCACACCAGUGCAAGCAGAUAAAUAGGUACCACUGCAGCGGGAAGGUAAGCAGUGUUUCUGUGCAUUCUGGUUUCCGUCACAGUGUUCCAUUGUGACAGAAGUGGUUUAGUCAUGCUGGCCACAUGACCCAGAAAGCUGUCUGUGAACAAACGCCAGCUCCCUCAGCCUGAAAGCGAGCUGAGUGCCGCAACCGCAUAGUCACCUUUGAUUGGACUUAACCAUCCAGGGGUCCUUUACCUUUACCUUUUUUACCUUAUGUGACAGAGAUCCCACACUACACCUAGGUGGAGAGUCAGCUGCUGUAGUAGAGCACAAAAUAGGAUGUUGUAGGAUUAGGGGCAGAAUGCCUGAAUCUUUCAUUCCACUGGGUCUAAACACCUAUGGAUCCCUUGAGGGAUUCCUCAUCUACACCACCCUAAAUUUGGCUUGACAAAAAGAUACCCAAAAGUGCCUCUACCUCCCACCCUGGGAUUUGAGCAUGGUGCUGAAUCCACUCUUCCACUCCUUUCCAGUCCCAUUUAUGAUGGCCCUGUCCCCCCCCCCCAUUAAAAUAAAUGAAUGAAGCUGAGCUACCAUAGUAUGGUCUACGGCCAUACUAUCCUGAACAUGCCCAAUCUUAUCCCGUUUGGGUCCCGUUUCAGACUGACUGCACAGAAACCCAUUCCUUCCCCCUUCACUACCCACUCUGGAUCUGACCCUCUACAUGCUUGGGCUAACGUACGUAUGAUCUCCUUUCUUAUCCUCCCUUUUCUUUUGCCACCUUUUGGACUUUCUGCAGAUUUCAAGAAAAGUGCAUUUUUCUUCAAUGACUGCUUUGGUGUUUCCCAGUGGACAGUUAACUAUCUAGGGUCUCCAAAAUUUACACUGGAUUCUUUCAAUUCAGAAUUUUAUUUGUGUUUUUUUAAAUCACCAGCUCUCUGGAUUGAUCUAAGGAAACAAGGCAGAUGAAAGGUUAAAGUUUCAUUUGAAAGGUAGUUUGGUAGAUCCCUUGAAAUUCUGGCAAAACCCCUGGGAGUCAGAUGUUGUUAAUUACUACUGCCAAGUGAGGCUGCUUUUCUAGUUCUGCAAGAUAAUUGCAUAAAUAAUGAAGGGGCCUAAUUUGACAGAGGUCUCAUUAUUAAUGUAUCUCCAUGGGAUGAAUAGUUCAUUCAUCAUUUUGCAGCAGUCAGAUUAUCUGCUAUUAUUUCUCACUUUCACUAGAAUCUACAAUCUACACUGCCAUACCCACCCAUUUACAUGCCUCUUCUCCACCAAAAUCUCCUUUCACAGGGGCAUAAAUUGUAAACAUUUCUUAGGGGGAUUGCCAAAGUCAGUCAUAGAAAUGACCCAUUGAAAUCAAUGGACUUACACUCUGAGUAUGACUGAUGUUGGAUAUCUCUUCUAAGAUAUAAGGUAUAUAGAUUUUGGGGUCUCAUUCAAAGUUUCAUGGUUUUGCCUACUUUUUAGGCUGUGUACACAUUGACCCAUUGUAGCACAAAAAAUGUAGUUUUUCUUGGUCCAGAACUGUCCAUGCUCAUCCUCAACAUGCUGCUUUCAAUCUACGUAGAUUGAUUCUGGACCAGACAUAGGCAAAGUCCAGCCCUCCAGAUGUUUGGGACUACAAUUCCCAUCAUCCCUAGCUAACAGGACCAGUGGUCAGGGAUGAUGGGAAUUGUAGUCCCAAACAUCUGGAGGGCCAGAGUUUGCCCAUGCCUGUUCUAGACCUUACUGUCUCAAGGGUGGGUGUGGUUACUUGCUGCAUAUUUGAAAACCUUCCCCUUGAUUAGAUUAUGGCAAUCCUGCUAUACCCGUAACAUCAUUGGGUAGGUAUGGAUAUACCUACCAUUGCCAGGACUGCCUACAGCUGUUUUCAAAUUGACACACUGUGGGGCAAGGCAGAAUCGAUCUGCAACCAGUUUCUCAAGAAAGCUUUUCCGAGGCAAAAAACAUGCAAAAAAUCUAGAUGGUUCGUGGACUGUGAAGAAGCAAGUACAGUGGUACCUCUGGAUGCGAACGGGAUCCGAACGAGAGUUCGCAUCCAGAAGUGAACUCAACCCGCGUCCGUGUGUCUGCACAUGCGUGGGUCGUGAUUUGCCACUUCUGCGCAUGCGCGUGAUGUCAUUUUGACUGCGCAUGCGUGAGCGGCGAAACCCGGAAGUAAUGUGCUCUGUUACUUCCUGGUCGCCACAGCGCGCAACCCGAAAAUACUUAUCCCGAAGCUACUUCAGCCUGAGGUAUGACUGUACUCAGUCUCCAUUCUAGAACAGAGUGUUGUGUGCAAGCAGCCUUAGUAUCUUUUGGAAUUAACUCUCAGGAUGAGGAUUGAGAACCUAGGAGCUGAAACUAUUUUACAUAGGGCUACCGGGUGGCGCUGUGUUUUAAACCACAGAGCCUAGGACUUGCCGAUCAGAAGGUCAGUGGUUCAAAUCCCUGCGACGGGGUGAGCUCCCGUUGCUCGGUCCCUGCUCCUGCCAACCUAGCAGUUCGAAAGCACAUCAAAGUGCAAGUAGAUAAAUAGGUACCACUCCAGCGGGAAGGUAAAUGCUCUGGUUUGCCAGAAGCAGCUUGGUCAUGACCUGGAAGCUGUACGUCAGCUCCCUCGGCCAAUAAAGCGAGAUGAGCGCCGCAACCCCAGAGUUGGUCACGACUGGACCUAAUGGUCAGCGGUCCCUUUACUUUUACCUUACCACCACCCGUUCAUUUAAAUCAGCCCCCUCCCCAUCUUACAGUCUCUCCAUAGUUCUCGAUUUCUUUCUGCCGAAGAGAGUAACAGAGAGGUUGGCAUCAAUAAAUGCAUAUUAAUGUCAGGGACCGUGCUGAGGAGAGCUGCACUGAGGGAGCCACCCCCUCUUCUUGAUCCUGAUCCUGAAUCUUCCCAGGAGCAGGAGGACAGUAUAGAUUUGGAACAGUGGUUUGCAGAAGGGCAUAGUUCAGAAGGCAGAAGCUGGGAAAUACUGAAUGGGGAACAGCUACAAAAGAAACACUGGAAGAGAGAGGGUUAAGACAUUCAUAGUCUCUGGACAGCAUUCCCACCCUAUCCCCAAGGACAAGAAGAGCUCAGAGACUGUUAGAACAGAAAGCACAGAGGGUACAAACUCAGAUUACAAAACGUAGGAGUGACAUAGAUUAAUAGGGAUGGAGGUGGGUGUGAGCCUUAAUUGGGAGCACCGCCAUUCUUGGUUUGUCUCUCGCUGUGUUUACUAAAGAAACUAACUGGUAAGAAUUUCCUUUUGUUCGAUCUGCUUAUUACUGCCACGGGGGAGGAAGCUGAUUCCCUGCAGCCUGACAAUCAAUUUUAAAACAUUUGUGAUAGAAAAUAGUAGUCUUGCACUGGAGAAAAGUUAGAAGAGUCUCUUGAGAUCGCUCUCUGCAGUGGCGGACCUUGAGGUCUUAAAAUUUCAGCAGUGCCCUGUGCAAUGCCAAAAUAUGGCACCCCCUGCCUUUCACGUUCCAGUCUAAAUAAUAGUUGUGGACCCCUGCGGCUCCACAUCCCGUGCAGCUGAAUCGAUUGCACUCUCCUAAAUCUGCCUCUGCUCUCUGGACUGGUUUGCAUACAGUCUGAAACUGAAUUUUGGCUUUCUUUGUGCAAAUGUGCAAACAUGCAGGCUUCCAGAGAGGAGAUUACAGCUGCUUUGCUCCUGCUCUAGCCAUCCUGCUGCUAUGCGGCUGGAGCUAAGCCUUGGUGUGGCUGACUGAAGUCAGGUUUCUGAACCCAGGCUUGUGAUUUGUCUUGUUUCACAGCUCAUAGUUAGCCUGGAGAAAAGAAACCUCAAGUCCAAUGUGGAUGACAUGCUGAGGCAAACCAUAUCUUAGCUCACAGCAGCAGGUGGGCUGAUGGAGAAGUCAAGUGGCCACAAUAUUCUUUCUGAUAAUGCUCAUGCCGUCACACUAAGCUGUGAUCUGGCUUAGUGUCAUGUGCAAACCAGAUCUCUCUAUUCCACCAGGAAUAGCCAUUGGGUUCUGCCCUGAUUUAAAGCUGCUGUUCACAAAUCAAGGCACCUAAUUUGCACAUUAUACAAAAUCUUUUUAAUUAUGCAAAUCAAGCGCAUUGACUGUUGGUUGCAAGGUCUACCACUGGCUUUGUGUCUGCUCCUGGCAACUGCCUCAGGAACAUGGGGAAGAAUCGGCAAAUGCAUCGUUUCACCUAUUUGCUUAUGCUUUCUUUUCAGACAACAACAAAGCCCGAGGGAAAGCUCUCUGUGGUGGACUUGCAUUCUCAUUAGGCAUAAAAUUUGGGUCAGCUCAUCACACAUGAUUGCUAGGAGGAUGCUGGUAUUACCUCACUGCUUCCUGCAGCAAAAAGCAGGGGGGUUUUCAGCCACAACUCACCGGAACUCAGUUCCGGCACCUCUCAAGUGGGUGCCAUCACCAUUAUAAGAGAACAAGGGAGGCGUUCAUGGUGAGUUCUGGCACCUCUUUUUCUAGAAAUAUAGCACUGGCAAACACAGAAUGCAUGCAUGUAACACAUAAUAAUAAUAAUAAUAAUACCCCAACAGAAUAUUAAAAACACGAUAAAACAUCAACCCUUGAAAACUUCACUAAAAAGGGUUGCCUUCAGAUGCCUUCUAAAAGUCAGAUACUUAUUUAUUUCCUUGACAUCUGGUGGGAGGGUGUUCCACAGGGUGGGCGCCACUACCGAGAAGGCCCUCUGCCUGGUUCCCUGUAACCUUGCUUCUCACAGUGGGGGAACUGCCAGAAGGCCCUCGGAGCGGGACCUCAGUGUCCAGGCUGAAGGAUGGGGGUGGAGAUGCUCCUGCAGGUAUACUGAAGGAGAACACAUGUUUAAGCAUCAAUGUACACAUAUUAAAGGAAGCUGGUCACACUGGGUUUCCCAGAUGUUGUGGCGAUCACACACGGUCCCAGACAUUUCACCGUCUAUUGAUCCCUGUGCCACCACUUUAUUUCUCGCUGCCACCACCCAGGCCCUACCUGGUACAAUACUGAGUCCAGUCAGGGUUAAAUUGGAACAUAAACUUCUUUUUAUUUAUUGCAGUUUAACAAGCGUGUGGUUUCAUAAAUGGUAUCGGUCCAUUACAAACAUGGGUUGCUUAUCCAGACCUAUAACUCCCGCUACCUGCUCUCACUCAUUAAACCACCUCUCAGAUAUUUACUUGUCUUCCUAGCUCCUAACUGUUCCUGACUCAACUUAUUUCACUACACUAACUCAACCUCCCCACAGACUCUAUCCCAAUUCACUCCCACUCCAACCAACUCCCAAUGAACUCCUUCCUUCUUCGCCCCUCUCAGAGCUGGUUUAUAGUCCCUCUGACUUCACCCCCUGGGUUCUGAUUGGGUAACCCGUUUAACUAUUUCACCUCCAGCACUCCCAUAUGUUAACGUCACAUAUGUGUGUGAAACUAUUGUUUAAAGAUGCAGGUAUAUGAUGCAUGUGUGGUAAUGCAUGCUCCUUUGUGGUAAUGCCAGACUUUCCAACAGAAAUCAUAAUUGUGAUGGUUUUCCAAUCCACAUUUUCCUAUUCAUCACUACUACCUACUCUCUCUCUCUCUCACACACACACAGAAUAUACUACAUGUACAACAAAAGAUUUGUUACUUUAAGUGGUAGAAACAAAGUCCUGUGAAAUGGCAUCAUCCUCAUUAGAGUUUUUGUUAACAAUUAAUAUCUCUGGCAAUCUUACACUUGUCUUCAUUAGGACCCCUUUCAGGAAUUAUCUUGCUGGAGUAGCUUGCAGGCAGUCCUGACAAAAAGAAUAUUGUUAAUCUAAGUUAGUUUCAAUCAUGAGGAAAACAAAGCAAUGGUCUGAAUCUGUCACAUCAUGACAAUUUCAAUCUGUAAGCUUCGCAAUGCAAUGAUGCGGAAAAAUUAGACCAAACAAGCUGCGAAGGCACUGGCUGUAAGCUUCAAAGGAAAGGUUAAUGUAAGUUAAAUAUUGAUGUGUCAGCAAUAAGGAUUAUAACAAUUACACAUUCACACAAAUGCCAGCUGGAGUUUAAUCAUCUUUUCUGACCCUGACAUGUCUUCACAACUGAAGGUUCACAUCUGAAGACAUUUCCCUUAAGUCAGCAACCCACACAUAGAUGGAGGACACUCAGAAAUAUUUGUAACCGGAUGGUGGAGAGUUCAUCCCAAAGAGAAAAUAAAUUCAGAGCUUCUUUUGAGAGCCAUGGGGUUCCACACCCCAAAAUAUAGCAAUUUCUUAGGUUAGCACCCAAUUUUCCUCUAGUGGGAUGCCUCUGAAGAAGAUGCCAACAUUGGACAAGACUCCCAUACUAUGAAAGGAGUGAGGGCUGAUCCAGAACAGGGGUAGACAACCUAAGGCCCGGGGGCUGGAUGCGGCCCAAUCGCCUUCUUAAUCCAGCCCAUGGACGGUCCAGGAAUCAGCGUGUUUUUACAUGAGAAGAACGUGUCCUUUUAUUUAAAAUGCAUCUCUGGGUUAUUUGUGAGGCCUGCCAGGUGUUUUUACAUGAGUAGAAUGUGUACUUUUAUCUAAAAUGCAUCUCUGGAUUAUUUGUGGGGCAUAAAAAUUCAUUCUUUUCCCCCCCUUCAAAAUAUACUCUGGCCCAUCACAUGGUCUGAGGGACGGUGGACCAGCCCAUGGCUGAAAAAGGUUGCUGACCCCUGAUCCAGAACAAUGGCACUUGGCUCCCUGUCAGAUGUAACUUCCACCCACAGUAUUCCAUCUCCCCUGGAUUUAUUAGCUUGCACCCAGUCCAUUGCAAAGCCCAGCCACAAGUCUUAGCACUUCCACGACUUUGUCUGAAUCUGAUGAAGUGAAGACAUUGACCUAUGUGCCAUCAGGGAACUGUGAUCAUACUACAUCCCAAAUCUCUGGAUAUCAGCAGCACAGUAUAAGCGGACAGGAGAGAGCCCUGUGGCAACCUUUGGUUAAUUGCCAAUUGUCAAAGCAACGGACUCCCAACACCACCUUCUAGAACUGUGUGUGUGUCCAGGUUGGAACAAAAGCUCUGAAACACAGUGUCCCCUAAUCCUCGUCUUGGAUAGCUGAUCUCCAACGUCCAAGUGAGAAUAUUAAAAGACCCCGAGGACAAUACUUACAAUACUGAUACAAUACUAAUACAAUCAAACUGUAAAAAGGGAAAGGAAGAGAAUUAGUAUUUUUUGCUCUAUAGGACGCACCGGACCAUAGGAGGGGGAGAACAGGAGAGAAAAAAUUCUCCCCCUCUCUGCUCCUUCUCCUCUCGGAGCCCCUUCCAAUUCUCCUCCCGCUUCACUGAAGGGGCGCUGCGCAGCUCUCCCUCUCUGCUGAAGCCAGGAGAGUCUUGCUCUCCCGGCUUCAGGAAAAGGAAUCCGAAGCCUUCGGAGCGCAGCGCGAGUUACCGCUGUGCUCCAAAGGCUUUAGGCGGCUCUCCCUGAAGCCUGGAGAGUGAGAGGGGUCAGUGCGCACCAACCCCUCUCACUCUCCAGGCUUCAGCGAAAGCAACGCAAAGCCUCUGGAGCGCUGAGGGAGUGCUCCCUCUGCGCUUCGGAGGCUUCGCGUUGCUAUCACUGAAGCCAAGGAGCCUGCAUUCGCCCCAUAGGACCCACACAUAUUUCCCCUCAAUUUUUGGAGGGGAAAAAGUGCGUCCUAUAGAGCGAAAAAUACGAUACAUGCUGCUACCAUCCAGGACCAAAAAAUUACUCUUCUCAGGGAUGGUAACUUCCUUCUUUUUGUAUGUUCCAUUUUAAUUUUUAUUCAGUUGUAUUACUUUUUCUUUCUAUUCAUCUAUUACUAACAUGCUAUUGAAUUACAUUUUUUAUCAAAUAAAUAAAUAAAUAAAUGAUGACUAUUAAAAAAAUGCUAAUGACUUUGAGAAUUUAGUCCUCACAUCUCCCUUCCCUUCCCUUUUUGUUAUUCCUUUCUUGUCUAAAAUCUGUUUAGAUUCUUCAUUUUAUUCCUCUCAUAUCCACCCUAAAGAUGAUGCCCCGUCAUGGACAAAAGACCUCUGAUUCACUAUCUUUGUUGUUGUUUAGUCGUUUAGUCGUGUCCGACUCUUCAUGACCCCAUGGACCAGAGCACGCCAGGCACUUCUGUCUUCCACAGCCUCCCACAGUUUGGUCAAACUCAUGCUGGUAGCUUCAAGAACACUAUCCCCACCAUCUCGUCCUCUGUCGUCCCCGUCUCCUUGUGCCCUCCAUCUUUCCCAACAUCAGGGUCUUUUCCAGGGAGUCUUCUCUUCUCAUGAGGUGGCCCAAGUUUUUGGAGUCUCAGCUUCAGGAUCUGUCCUUCCAGUGAGCACUCAGGGCUGAUUUCCUUCAGAAUGGAUAGGUUUGAUCUUCUUGCAGUCCAUGGGGCUCUCAAGAGUCUCCUCCAGCACCAUAAUUCAAAAGCAUCAAUUCUUUGGCGAUCAGCCUUCUUUAUGGUCCAGCUCUCACUGUGGGAGCUGGAUUCACUAUCUAAAAAGCAUCAAUGGAAAUUAUCUAGAUUCUAGAUUCUUUCCAUUGACUCUUCUAGAACAAAUGGUUUGAGGAUAGCAGCUUUGAUUACCAGUCUUUCUGAUAUGUUCUAUUUGAAACUGGCAGAUGUAAUGUUUCCUUUCCCUUCCCUCUUUUUAAAAAAGCUAUUUCCUUUGGAUAAAUCACAAUCAGUUCCCUGGUCUCAGGUAGAAAAUUAGUUCUUAAAAAAUAUUUGACCCCGAAGGCUGAAACGGUUGUAUGAAAAUUGCUUACUCUGCAUUCUUCCCUCUCCUCCGCCUUUUGGGAGGGCAGGAGAAUGGAAAGUCCCAUAUUUUCCAAAGACAUUUAAACAAUAAUAAUGCAGCAAUUUUAUAGACCUAUAAACAUUUCUUAUGAGAAUGUUUCUAUGAUGAGGGUUUUAAAUUAAUGAAAGUAAUAUUUCUUUUUUUAAGAAAAACCACACAAAAAACAACAACGCCCCAGCAGGAACUAUAAAUGCAAAAGAAUCUGGAUCUCUAUUAAAUACGUCUUUCAUGCAAGCGUUCUAAUACCAGACAGAAACGAAUGACCUGAUUUGGGCAGAAACAGCAAAUCUGUUUUAAUAUGUAGAGCCUUUUACCUGAGAUGGAUCUCAAACCCUUGGUGAGUUAAGGACUUCCCUUGCUUGUGAAGAAAGGUUCUGGCAGUUUGAGCAGAGAAGCCCCAUAGUGGGUCCAACAGUCAAUAAGGUGGUUAACUGCAUGUGCUGUAGAGGGAAGUGAGAGGCAGAUGGGGCUCUUCAAACUGGGAAGGUGGUCCAUCUAGAAGCAGGGAAAAUCUGUUCCUAAACCCCUGCUUCCUCAUGGCUAUACUCAUUAAUGAGAAAUGCUCUACCUGCCCCAGAAAAGAAGGAAAGCCUCCUAGGUAAUGGGAUUCUGGAUUCCAGACCACAAGAAAAGGUCCUUGUGGCGAUCACACAGGGCCCCCGGAUGUUUGACGGUCUAUUGACCAUGUGCCACCACUGUGAUUGCUUUCUUCGCUGCCCCCACCCCGCUUCUCAUGGGGACACACGGAGUCCAGACAGCUGUUAACAUUAAAAAAUAGUCAAGUUUCUUUUUAAAUGCAGGAACAAGUGUAUGGUUUCAGUUUAUUUUUCUCUUGUCAGUUUCUUCAUUUUAGUUCCUAACAACUCCAAACUGAUUAUUCCAACUAUCUAUCUGACUCAACCUAACAAUUCCUCUCACUCUCUCACAAUACAACUCUACCAACCCACACCUAAACCUCCCUCUUCCUUCUCCAGCUCCCAAACCUCAACCCUCAAUUCCCAACCCUCAACUGACUCUCAAACAGCUCCCACUCUAACUUUUACUCCCCCCUUGCAUUCUCACUGGCCAAUCACAUCACACCCAUUUUAACCCUUUCCUUAUGACCCAUCCUAGGAGACAAACGCCACAGUCCUUUUCACAAGUUACAUUAAGAAUACAUUUUUUUUUGUAGGAUUGUCACCCAUUGAAAGAUAUUCCCAUCAGUAAACCAGGUGAGUUUUAGUCAGUUCAUUGGAAGUUGGUGGGCUGUCCUUCACUGGAGGUUUUUAAGCAGAAUUUGGGUGGCCAUCUGUCAUGGAUGCUUUGGCUGAGAUUCCUGCAUUGCAGGGGGUUGGGCUAGAUGACCCUCGUGGUCCCUUCCAACUCUACAAUUCUAUGAUUCUAUAUCGGCAUACUGAUUUGCGUGACUAAUGCAAUACUGCUUAAUAAAAGAGCCAGCUUUACUAGAAUUUUAGAUGACUCACAAAGAAGGAGCAUCUCACUUCUGUUUCUCCCUUGAUUUCUAGGCACAGGUUUGAGAGGGGUUUUUUGUUCCACCACUUUCCUCUGGAAAAGCCAAUGUUUACCACUGAGGGCUUCUUCACACUUAAAUUUUGACCUGCGCUUUCCAGACACAGCUCCAUGCUUUAAAGCUCUGUGUCCAAGCGCUUCUUCUUUUGCCAAGAAGCUUUCCCCACGAAAACCCACUCUUUAGUGCUUAAUCGGAGCAAACAGCAAUUUGGGUUUUCUGCAGAUUGCUGUUUGUUCCCAUUCAGCUUUAAAUAGCAGGCUUGCCCCAGGACUGUGAAAGAGUCCCUAGCGUUCAAUUCAGUGUAGCCACUGAACCCUGAGUUACAACAUAGAUUUGUACAAUAAUAAGUGAUACUUGAAAAACAUCUUAGAGAGGUCUUUUCUAAUCAGAACAAAAUGUUUAAUCAGCCUCAGUUAUGUGCUGCAACCAGCUCACCCAUUUGAUUUAAUAUAAGCGGAUGGAAAAACCUAUUAUGAGUUAAAUGGAGAGAGCUACAUUUUAAUUAUUAUUUUUCUCUCAGUUCAAGUGGGCAAAUCUAAUUUCUGUGGAGAAACAGUAAAGCACUUUCUAUAGCUGGAGGGGAGCAGUUGUAAACAAAUUGAUGGCACAUUUUUCAAGGACAAGAAUGCUUGAAACUGUUUGACCGAUUAUAUUGCUAAUUCUCGAGUCUUCCAAUAAGAAGCAACAACAACCUCAUAAGUCUUAUAAGAGGAUCUAAGAAACCUAGCAAAUGUGAUGGUUAUUCUGAACAUGGCAUCACUUGUGACUCAUAUGAUAAAGAAGCAGAACUGCAGUUCACUUCUCUUUCUUGGCCACUGAAGCCCAGAGGAACCAAACUUCAAAUGGAAAAAGUAGGUUGCUAUUCAAAUCCAUUAAAAGGGGGAAAUUUGUGGGAUAACCAGCCUCAUAUAACCAAGAUUCUUAAGUCUAAUUAACACAUGAAGGGGUUAAUGCCAUAAAGUAAGCUGUCCUGCCAGGCUUAGCUAGGUCACUCCCCCACAACCUUAGGAGGAAAGUAAUCAAUCCUUUGCUCCCCUUUCAGUCUACCUGAAAAGUUCAAUGUGUAAAGAAGGCUGAGCUGGUUCCUCCAAGCUCAGGCCACAUGGCUCUAACAAGCCUUUCUUGAGUUCCUGCUGUAACUAAGCCAAGUUUUACUGCCUCCAUUUUCUGACUGAUGUGUGGAAAAGCACAUGAACCUGGCCUUUGAAGAGUUAGUAAAUAGUUUUUAACCUACUAAAUGUGUGGUCUUUUUAUAUGCUAGGGGAAGAGGGAAAUUUUGGAAGGGUGUAUUUUAUAGGUCUAACAGCCUAUAUUUCCACACUUUACUUUGCUGAAUAUAUCGUGAUUCUGAUUCUGCUCUGGGGUUCUCUCACCAAAGAGUACUUGCCCUAAACCUAAAUCUUAGCAUCUAGGUAUUUUAAUACCUAUUUUUCUUAUCUUUUGACAACCUUCACAACUGACAGCAGAUUUUGGGGGUCUCUUUGAGUGAUUGGGGUAGGGCAAACUCCCCUAUAGCCUGAUACAUUAUGGGGGACUACAUCAUAAACGAGGAAGGGCACCCUUGAUGAGACCGUACUGAAAAGGGUGUUAUAGAGAGCAGCUUGCUUACUCUUCCCAUACCUGUUGUGAUAAAUCAUCACAAACUGUGAGCAGGGUUUAGAGCUUCUCCUAUUGUUGUGAGGUGGCCAUAGGUGGUGUGUGUGAGUGAGUGUGUGUCUGUGUCUCUGUGUGUAAUUUCCUUUCCAGUAAACAUUUGAGGACCUCUCUGGCUGCCCAUGCUUCCUGACCAGAAAAAGACCCAUGGGAAGAGAUACCAGGGAUUUAGUUGAAGAGCGGGCAUGCAGACGGGCUGCAGAGUGCGGACAAAUUAUUUGCAGAAUGAAAGGAAGGGCAUUUUGUGAGCACCCUAUGGUCACCUCAAAGGUACAGUAAGUGCAACAAAAACCCUGCACCUGCCCACAAGAAUUUCACCAUUUUUUAUCUCCCUUUUAAUAAUUGUUGUUGUUUAGUCGUUUAGUCAUGUCCGACUCUUCAUGACCCCAUGGACCAGAGCACGCCAGGCACACCUGUCUUCCAUUGCCUCCCGCAGUUUGGUCAGACUCAUGUUUGUAGCUUCGAGAACACUGUCCAACCAUCUCGUCCUCUGUCGUCCCCUUCUCCUUGUGCCUUCCAUCUUUCCCAACAUCAGGGUCUUUUCCAGGGAGUCUUCUCGUCUCAUGAGGUGGCCAAAGUCUUGGAGCCUCAGCUUCAGGAUCUGUCCUUCCAGUGAGCACUCAGGGCUGAUUUCCUUCAGAAUGGAGAGGUUUGAUCUUCUUGCAGGCCAUGGGACUCUCAAGAGUCUCCUCCAGCACCAUAAUUCAAAAGCAUCAAUUCUUCAGCGAUCAGCCUUCUUUAUGGUCCAGCUCUCACUUCCAUACAUCGCUACUGGGAAAACCAUAGCUUUUACUAUACGGACCUUUGUUGGCAAGGUGAUGUCUCUGCUUUUUAAGAAGCUGUCUAGGUUUGUCAUUGCUUUUCUCCCAAGGAGCAGUCGUCUUUUAAUUUCGUGACUGCUGUCACCAUCUGCAGUGAUCAUGGAGCCCAAGAAAGUAAAAUCUCUCCCUUUAAUAAUACUGGAAUGCAAUUUCCUUUCUCAUUAAUUGAGAAUGGGUUUUUUUAAAUAAAAAAUGAUGGUGAUGAUGCAGGAGGCACUUUUAGCAGAGUACUGCCUUAUCUCUUGAAGUCUCAAUUUCAACACUGUGUAAAACAACAAAGACGAAAUAGGAUGAAGAGCAUAAUGGGAUGAAGAUGCAUGUCUAUAUGAUUAGGCUUCAAUUAGGAUGAAGAUAAGGCUUAGGGGGACAAUCCAAAGGUUUCACAGAAAAUGUGGGUUAUGGUCUUUUCACUGGCCCCAAAUUACUUCAUAAAGAUCUGUUUGUUCUUUUGUUAGUAGCUGCCAGGAGGACAGUGGCCGUGGGCUGGAAUAUGUUUUCUGAAUUUUCUAUAUGUAAUUGGCAUUGCCACAUUUGGCAAAAAGCUUUGAUAGAAAAGCUUAGCAAUGCUGAGGGGUUGGCAAAAAGCCAGGCCAAGCCUAUUGCAUUCACAGAUGUAUGGUUCCCAUUUCUCACAUCUAUUCACUCUUUAUCUGUUAGACCAAAACCACCAGUUUUGCAUGCAGAUUUCUUGACAGGUUUGAUAAACUAAUGUGGUUAUAGAUUUGGUUUCAUUUGCUGUUACCUCCUAAAUAUGUGGUGUUUGAUGGAACAACUUACAUUUGUUUUUGUCUUACUGCAACGUUUUUAUUGUACCACUUGGAUUGCACCAAAUGGAAAUCAAUGAAAUACUUCUUUAAAAAAAAAGUUACCACAAGAGAAAUUGGACAAAACAACAAGAGAAUUUGGGAGCAGCUAUAGACUUGGCUGCGUACCAUCUUAAGGGCGAGACUACAUGUAUCCCAAAUACAUGUAUUUGGGAAUGUAUCCCAAAAUGUUGCCCCCCAUGUUGCAUUCUUUCCCUCCCAUAAUCCCCUAUCUUGACAUGGUCACUCUGCACAUUUCUCCACUCCUUCACCACAUUACUUGUUCAAUAAUAUGAGUACCCAAGGUAAGAUCUACCACCUAGCCUGGGGAUGCAUUUUUCAAUAAUAGACCCAUAUUUCUCAGAAUAUGCAGUUCCUGAACCUAACGUAUGGUGGGUUUAAUUGAUCAUAUUUACUAUAUAGGCCAGAAGGAAAUUUUAAAGAGAGACCUAUUCAAGCAUAUUGAAUAGACCUAUUUUGUCUAGUGGGAAACAAUCAACUGGAAAAUUCCCCUGUGGAAGUCCAAUCAAAAUACAUGAAAGCUAAGCAAAAGUGAAAGGCUUUUGCAGGAGACCUCUGUGGUACAAUGAUUUUCAAACUGAGUUCUGUAAUACCAGGGAGUAACAUGGAAGCUUAUCCAGCCUUCCUCGAUGGGAAGAUCAGCAAUGGAAGGCUGGAGCCCCUGAAAGAUAGAUUGUCCACCGCUACUGAUCAUCUCCUGCAGUGUACAGGGCUAGCAUGCAUUUCAGGUGGAAAGAUAAGAAGAGCUCUGUUGCACAUCAGAUCAAAGGUCCAUCUAAGCCAGCUUCAUGCUUUCAGCAAUGACCAGCCUGACCAUUUGGGAAGCUCACAGCAGAGGAUGAAGGCAAGAGCCUUUCCCUCAAAUACUUGCAUUCUGAAAAAGUAGUUGAACUCAUCUAAACUUCUGGCGACUGCCAUAUCUUGUGUCAGGCAAUCUGUCAAUUUCUUAUACGUUGUGUAAAGAAUUCUCUUUGUCUGUGUCCAAGGGGAUUGUGCUUUAGGUUUUGUAGAUGACACUUUGAAUUUUUCCAUUGUUGGGUCUUGUAAAGGGAUUUAAGGGAUUAAAUGUAUUUCUUAGCAUUUACUACACAGGACAGAAUCACGUCUCGCAAAAGGCAUACCAAGCAUGGAGAAGCUUCUGUAUUCUCCAAUAAAGGCUUCUUUUUAUGAGGAUGCACCGAUUCUUUCAUUUCUCUGGUGGGAAUGAAACUGGUUGAGCAAAGUGUAGUUUACCCACAACACCUGCAAGCUGCACCUGUGUAGUUUUGUUGUUGUUUUUAAAGGCCAUUAAGAUCAACACACUCCUUUUUCAUUUCUGUUUGUUAAGGGAAAGAAAAGGGAAAGAAAAUGUCCUCCAGAGCCUGAUGAAUAAGGGAUAAGGAAAGACUAUUGCAGGGCAGCCAAUAGGAAGGGAUCCUAGGUGGGAGUUAAUGUCACUAACAAAAAAGAAUAAUACUAUACUUCUUCUGCUAUGAAAAUUUAGUAGCCAUAGCUAUGGUCCUCAAAGUUUCAUUAACCAUUAAAUACUCUGCAGCACUAGGACCCAGCUCAGUUAUAUCCUCUGUUGCACCAAUGGUGCCUAGAUAUAACAAGAGUGCCAUUUCUGAAGGAAGAAAAAGAUCAUUCUGAAACAUAGGUUCAAAAUUAUAUGGCCCCAAAGUUAGUACCUCGAGGGAGGGGGAGUGUUUGCUUUUCUUUUUUAUACAGUGGUACCUUAAUUCGUUCUGGAGGUCCAUUCUUAACCUGAAACUGUUCUUAACCUGAGGUACCACUUUAGCUAAUGGGGCCUCCCGCUGCCGCUGCUCUGCUGCCGCGAGAUUUCUGUUCUCAUCCUGAAGCAAAGUUCUUAACCCGAGGUACUAUUUCUGGGUUAGCGGAGUCUGUAACCUGAAGCGUGUGUAACCCGAGGUACCACUGUACUUCAUAAUAGGCAGGCAAUGUUAACACAGCCAAGGAGCCCCACCUGUUUUUUUAAGCAAAGAGAAUUUGUGCACUGGGCAUGCCUAACUAGGACAUAGAUCCAUUUAUGAGUUACAUCAAUAGUCAUUUACUGUGCAGAGCCAGCAGUAUGACCACAGUUGCACCUGACCCUAAGAACUAAUCACAUCUGGUCUGAAAGACAAUGGGAUUAUCUCCCCACCCAUCUCCUCCUCUCACUAAAUGGUUGCCAGCUCCUUAACCCAAAACACCUGGUGAUAUGGCCUCAAGUGGAGCUUUCUCAGUCAGAAAGUGGAACAAGUCUAGUGUUAGAAACAAGAGGUGGAAAACAGUGGCUGGAUGCUCUUCUGGGCUGGAGGGGGGCAGCCCAGCAGUUUCGUGGAGGGCCAGUGGACAGUCUUGUUCUACCCAGAUCUAGGAUGAAGCCAAACCCAAAAGCUGUCACAUUGCAUAUGAUGAACAGAUAAAAAAAGUGGUAGAGGGGGAAACAAAUACAGGCUUAGAAUCACAUAAUCCUCAAAUUGCAGAGUUGGGGCCCCGAAGGUCCAACACCCUACAAUUCAGGAAUCUCCACUAAGGUGUCCAUGACAGAUGGCUCUCUAACCUUUAUUUAAAAGCUUCAAGGGAGUCUGUUCCACUGUCGAACAGCUCUUACUGUCAGAAAGUUCUUCAUGAUGUUUAGUCAGAAUCUCCUUUCUUGUAACAUGACGCCAUUGUUUUGAGUCGUACCCUCCAGAGCAGGAGACAACAAGCUUGCUCCAUGUGACAGCCAUUGAGAUAUUUGAAGAUAGCUAUCGUAUCUCCUCUCAGUCUCCUCUUUUCCAGGCUAAACAUACCCAACUCCCUCAACUGUUCUUCAUUGUCAAGUAGCUAUCAGGCAAGUACAGGUCAUCCACAGGGCAGCAGGGACAACCUCUGACUUCUCUUUGUCUGGGUCUGCACUCACACCGAGACUCUCAGCUCCCAGCCCAGUCCUAGAAGGGUCUCCUUCUUCUCACCCCCAUCACUCAACCCUCCUGCAUCUAGCAUCUCCCAGCUUGUCACUUCCACAGAAUGAUCCCCCAUGUCCCACCAUCACUGUCCUGGUUCUAAGUCAUCAACUUUGAUGUCAACCCUGGCUCUUGGGUGAGUGGUGCCCACCAGUCUUCCUCAUCCAGCCAGUUCCUGACAUUCAUAAGGCACUUGGGUUUCCAGACCUUUGAUCAUCUUGGUUGCCCUCCUCUGCACAAGCCCCAGCUUAUCAAUAUCCUUCUUAAAUUGCAGUGCUUGCCGCUUGUUUGUUUGUUAACUCUUCCCAAAGCAAGGGGAAAUGCUUUUCUCUGGUUGAUUGGUAACCUUAACUGCCAGGAAAACCUUUCUGGGCUCAGAACUGCACUGGAAAAGCUGCUCGCAGUAUAAAUUUCCUUAAGGCACAAGGAGCUGCAGAUGUUAGCUUUCAAAGCCCAAUGACUGAACAAACUGGCUUCCUUCCUUUUGUUUUUCAUAGAUUAUUUGGUAGUUUUAACUACUUUCCAUAAUUUUUUGUGCUUUUGGUAGCCUUGGGGAGGAACAAAACUUUCUGACACCUGGUGGCUUUUGAGAUAUCUCAUCAUGCACUGCUCACAACUAUAAAGGCUAAAAACAUUACUUGCAAACUUAAAGCUAGACUUCUCAGAAACUGAAUACUACUCCGCAAUGGCACACUUUAUUAUUUUCCCCUCACUGUACUUGCACACAAGUAGAGCAUGUUGACAAAACUAGGGUUGUUGAUGAAUUUUUUUACGUUUGCAUUUAGGUAAAAAUUUGGGGGCUCUCUGGUGUCCUGAACUCCAUCCUGGAACAAUUCUUGGCCUGUCUUACUGUAUAUCUUUCAUUGGCAAACCCAAUGAAAAAGCAUUAACAUCUAAUUCUAAGAGUAGGAGGAAGGGGGCAUCAUCAUAAUAGUAACAAUUUAUUAUUUAUACCCCACCCAUCUGGCUGAGUUUCCCCAGCCAAUCAAGUGUUAAAAACAAUACAGCAUUAAAUAUUAAAAACUUCCCUAAACAGGGCUGCCUUCAGAUGUCUUUUAAAAAUAGGAUAGCUGCUUAUUUCCUUGACAUCUGAUGGGAGGGCGUUCCACAGGGCGGGUUCCACUACCGAGAAGGCCCUCUGCCUGGUUCCCUGUAACUUGGCUUCUCAUAGUGAGGGAACUGCCAGAAGGCCCUCGGCGCUGGAUUUCAGUGUCCGGGUAGAACGAUGGGGGUGGAGAUGCUCCUUCAGGUAUACUAGACCGAGGCUGUUUAGGGCUUUAAAGGUCAGCACCAACACUCUGAAUUGUGCUCGGAAACAGACUGGGAGCCAAUACAGAUCUCUCAGGACCGGUGUUAUGUGGUCCCGGCAGCCACUCCCAGUCACCAGUCUAGCUACCACAUUCUGGAUUAAUUGCAGUUUCCGGGUCACCUUCAAAGGUAGCCCCAUGUAAAGCACAUUGCAGUAGUCCAAGGGGGAGAUAACUAGAGCAUGCACCACUCUGGCGAGACAGUCCGUGGGCAGGUAGGGUCUCAGGCUGCGUACCAGAUGGAGCUGGUAAACAGCCGCCCUGGACUCAGAAUUAACCUGCACCUCCAUGGACAGCUGUGAGUCCAAAACGACUCCCAGGCUGUGCACCUGGUCCUUCAGGGGCACAAUUACCCUAUUCAGGACCAGGGAGUCCUCCACACCUGCCCUCCUCCUGUCCCCCAAAAACAGUACUUCUGUCUUGUCAGGAUUCAACCUCAAUCUGUUAGCCACCAUUCAUCCUCCAACUGCCUCCAGGCACUCACACAGGACCUUCACCGCCUUCACUGGUUCUGAUUUAAAAGAGAGGUAGAGCUGGGUGUCAUCUGCAUACUGAUGAACACCCAGCCAAAAUAGACAAAUAAGGCAAGUCGUGGAUGAGGAAAGCAAAUAGGGAAAAUAAUAAUUAAAGCGGCUUCCAGAUGAAUUCAUAUGUUUUUCAGGGAGUAUUUUGAGGUUCACCAAACGCCCGCAUAAUCCUGAAGCUCUGCCUUCCUUUGUAGCACAUGCAGAUGAUAGCUAGGUUUUUCCAUGAGCACAUAGCCUUUUGAGCCAGUUAUCGUGAAAUUUGAACCACCUUCCCAUCCCUGGGCUACAAGAAGGUGGGCUGCCACUACAAGAUAAAGGACAAGUGGUUUUAAUGUUACUAAGUAGUUGUUGCCUUUAAAUAUAGAGAGGAGGCAGAGUACGAGAUCUGGCUGGAUUACCGUAAGUUACCAAUACUGUUGCUAAUUUCCUCCCUAACUACAGUCUUAAAAGUAUGGGCCAAUGGGCACGUCCUCUAUAGAUGCCAAUAAGUCCCUAUGGCUCCACAGGACUUCUUCCCUGACUUUUGAAUAUGUGCCAUUCACACAGGUGUGAGAAACCAACUAUGAACAAUUUUCAUGAAGUUUUCUCUGGAGGCUGGAACUGAAUAGAAUGGUUUCAUGGGCUCGAGUUUAUUCCAUUUCACCAUAUCAAUUUCCUCUUCCAGGUCCUGUUCCCAGACUGACUUCAACUGAUGAGGGAUAUAACUGAGAAAGGAGAGCUGUGUACAUCUGUGAAACUAGUCUUUUGAUGCAUGAUGCUGGCACUUCCCCAUUUCUGCAUGUGAGAUGAGGCAAGGAAGACUAGGGCUUCACAUGGGAGGGGAAAGUAGGGUUUUGAACAUCCUUACACAAAGCCCUGCUGAAAAUCCCACCCAACAAACAGCCAACAUGGCUGAAGAUGAAUUGCUGUGAGUUCCCCCUUCUUUAACAUGCAUUUAUAUUUUAAAAUAAGUUACUAUUCUGAGUUUUCUGUGCUGCAUCAGAUUUAUAGCAUGAUGUGACAAGCCCUCAGGAUAUGAACCUGAAGAGUAUUAAAAAUGAAAAAUAAACUAAUUUCCUUUAAACACUGAAGGCGAGCAGAUAUGUGUGCAAGAGGGAAAUUGUUGUUAUGCAAAGAUCUUUAAACAAAACACCAACGAAAUAUAGUCAUUAAACCGACACCCCUCAGCACUUACUCGUUGACAUCUUCAUGGUAGGCAGGCUUUAUAAAAUCUCUAUGAAAUACAGCAAUAAUGUAAAUCAAAAAGGUGAUAUGUGAUAGCACAUGAUCUGAAAUAAUUGUGCUGAGUAUUAAAAUGCAUUCCCCGCCGACUCUUCAUGCACCAAUGCACAGUUUUCGAAGUUCAAUGUAUAUCUUAUCAAAGCAAAAUUUGGUGCAGUAUUUUAAGUAUCACAGGUAGUCAGGAAUAACGGGCAAAAUUCCUGCAUGCCAGAUGAAUAGGAAAAUGAGGCACACAUGAAAAUUGUGAUUUAAUAAAAACUCAUGAUGCCCCUCUUGGGGACAGGAACCCAGGGGCUGAAGGUCUGCAGUAAGCUUUUCUGCUCAUGUAGGCUUUUUCGCAUGGUUUAGAACUCCGGCGUUCUGAAUCAUGCAGUCAGGCAUAGGUCAGCAACAACAACAAAAACAAUAAAUCACCCAGGGCCAGUGAAGUUAAAUCUUUAUUCAAGAAAACAAAUCACAACUCAGGCCUAGUAGUCUCAGCAACCCUUCCUAGGAGCUCUUGUCCUGAUGACAUAGUUGUGAGGACUGAAGGUCCCCACCUUCCCACCACUCUCUAAGGUAUCCCACCUCUCCCCUGGUUUUUCCCCCACGCAGUGUCAAACUGUGCCUCUGCACAACUAAUCUCUGUUCAGCACUUUUCAUUUCUCUGUGCAUUCUUGGAGACCAGGGGGAAAGGGAGCUGGUCACAGCAGGAGGGUGGGGCAGCUCCUUGGAUUAUUUAGCAGCCUCUUGACUCGCCCCCCCCCCAUUUCCAGCCUCUGCUCCAGUUUCUGAGUUUCGACUGCCCUCUGCCACCAACUCUCCCUGCUCACUAAACCCUGUUGCCCCUCCAGCUUCCAACACCUCCUCCCUACAGUCUUCUCCCUCUAACCACUCAUUGUCAUCCCACCACCAAUACCCUGGCUCUGAGCCUUCUUCCCCUGGGGGUUCCCCAGGGGAUUCCCCAGCUAGUGCCCCCCCCACUCCUCUACAUCCAGUCAGUCCAUGACACACAGGGAGAGUACAGCAGGCUCCCCACUGUGGAGGUUCACCCUCUAAUGUGCAGAGUACCCAGCGUUAGGAUUCUUGCUCCGUGUCUGCAGUCAUGGGAUUGUUGUCUAUCACAUGACGGUGUAUGUUUUCAUUCCACAUAGUGGGAAGUGACAGAGACAGGAUGUUUUGUGUCACUGUGUUCCGGAAUGUAGGACUAUUGUCCUUUGUUUCUUUCUCUUUGCUGUCUGAUGAGAAAAGGGACAGAGCUAAGUCAGAAUGCUCCGAGUGUAUUAUAUGUAAAUAAAGUAGAUUAGCCAAAAUGCUGAGCUAUUGAGUCUGUUACGUGAACCACCAAUACUCUGCAGGAUCCCUAAGCGUGCUAAUGCCUUUUGGUAUCAGUCGUUGUGAUGUCUGGGCUGGAGAAAGCUUUUGAAGCUCCCAAACGAUUAACCAGGAGGGAAAGAACAUGCCAGUCGGACAUGUGUCUCUGCCAGGGUCCUACACGCAAGUAGCACGAUCCUAACGGUGGUUAGUGGUGAUGGAGAGUGUGAGGCAUAGGUGCCAAUUCCCUGGGGCCUUGGGUGCCUGAGCACACACAAAAUCCCCCAGGAAGGCAUGGCACCCGUGGCCCCAGACACCCACAGUUUCAGGGCCAAGUUGGCACUCCUGGUGUGAGGUCAGCGUAUGCCCCCUGCCCCUUGCCAUCAUAUCUUGACAACUGCUUGAGGGAGGAAAAAACCUAAAUAGUGUUUAUAAGUUUAUGCUCUUCAGUGCAGUGGUGACUUUAAAAAUUCUAGGUUCAAUAGCUGCUUCUUUCAACAUACUUAAGAAAGGUGUGCAGUGAAUGAAAGGCAUACUCAGAUGCAUGUACAUAUGUGAGGUUAAAACGAGAGACGCAUGAAACAAAAGAUUUGUUUCAAAACAAUAUGUGAAUUGCAGUCAUCCACUCCUGUGCACUAGCACUGCUGCAGCAAUCUCCCAGUUUUCAGAGAGCAGCUCAGCCAAUAGCAGCCCAGGUCUGCUCUGCCUGCCUUGUUCCUCUGCGACAUUAAGCCGGUUCAUCCAACCAUGGCUACAGCCUUCAACACCACCAUCACAACCAGAGAGUCCCCAAGGACACUGCAAUAUCGAUUGAAAAACACUUCGCACAUAGAAAAUAGAUGCCAAAAUGUUUGCUAGAACAAUAACUGCACCAGGCAGCAAAAUUCAAAUGGUUUUUUACGGCUACGUUUUUCCAUUUUCCAUUUUUAAACCCCAGGUUUCCAAGCAUUUCAGAACUCAGUUUUGUGUCUCUUUCCCACACACAACAAUCUUUGUGGGGUCAGAGGGAUUCCAGGAGAUAGAUAGAUAGAUGGAUAGAUAGAUAGAUAAAUUAACUUAACGUAAUGACAAUUGCCACAGAGAGCUGAGCAAGGUUUUCCUCUAUAAAGUCAUGAGGUGGAUUUGACUGGAACAGAAACACUCUACUAAAAUAAUAAUACUCUCAUAAUCUGGGCCUCAUUAACUUGUCAAGUCUAGUGACAGUCCUUAAUAGCAUCCGCUCAUUUUACGUGUUGUAGUAAGUGACUUUCCGAGCUAUUUGAAUAACCUAAAAUAAGAAGAGUCUCUAACAACUCUUAAUGGAGGGUGUGUUCUCCUCCUCCUCCUCCUCCGCUCCUCCUCCUCCCCCUUUCAGCCUAAAAGAAAACCAUGAUGCACUUACAUUGUUUGUUUUCUGGGCAAUCUGCCAUUGGCCUUUCAGAUGGAAGAGCUUACAUUUAAUUUAUUUCUCCUCUGCUCGAUGUACUGCUUGCAGUUUCCAACACACUGAUAGAAAUUUAUGGUAGCUGGUCCAAAGGCUGUUGCCAAAUGCGAAAGGGGAGGAUAAGGCAGUGAUGGAUACAAAUUCCCUCUCGGUCGGCGUAGUGGCAAUGUCGCCACCCUAACACACUAAGGUUAGAUGCUGUGAGCUGCAAAGUCAUCUCUUGUUGAGGUGUCAAGCGUUUACAUGCUCAUAUCUUUCUGUGAGAGCAAAUGCGUAAGGCAACUUCUAAGACCAGGGCUUGAAGGAAAGCACAUAGCUCUGCGAGAAUUACUACAUCACCAAACAGUAUUGCUGAGUCAAUUGGAAAUGAAUUCAUGUUCUUUCUUAGCUAGGGUGGCCAGUUAUGCAUUGCCAAACAGUAGGGCUUUGAUUGUACACAAAACCAAAGAGAAAACACCAAUUUGCAAAUAAAAAGUGUAUAUGGUAAUGUGCAGGCGUGCCAACGCAGGAGGCCGAGGUGUCUUCAGUCACUCAAUGUUGAGGGGGCCUUGACACUGGGGCGUCCCUUUGACAAUCGCCAGGGCACCUUCCAGGAAGGUGUGUUGGUAAUCUCAAAGGAACGCACCAAAGUGCUUCGGCAGGCCACACAGACAGUGGCCUUGCCAAGGUGGCUUCAGCUCUUCAGCAUCAAACAAAGGUAAAGUGGCAGGUGGUGGGUGAGUGGGGGAUGGCAGGCCAAGUUAGCCUGGGCGGGUUGGGGGGUACUGCAGGCACCGCCCAUGUGAAAUCAUGCACACACGGUGACCACCUCUACCCCCCAAUGUUGAGUGCAACUCAGCACCUCUUUGUCAGAGACUGGGUAGAUGAGGAAGAAUGGUGGAGACCACCACUCCAGGCAUUGCCUAGAGAGGAGGAAAGGCUAGAUCAGGCAUAGGCAACCUCAGCUCUCCAGAUGUUUUGGGACUACAACUCCCAUGAUCCCUAGCUAACAGGACCAGUGGUCAGGGAUGAUGGGAACUGUAGUCCCAAAACAAUCUGGAGGGCCGAGGUUUGCCUAUGCCUGGUCUAGAUAGCAUAGGCCUCCAGGAAUGGUUUGACACAGGGCAUACCUCAGACAGAGAUGAGGGCAAAUGUUGUGAAAUAAUGGGAGAGGAGGAGGAGGAAGUGGAGAGCAUUCAGCAGGCAGAGGCUGAGCAGCAAUUGACGCCUUCGCUGGAGAGUAUCCCAGAACCUGUACCCUGCCCCAAACCAGGCGUUUGCUGAGAAUAGCAGAACAGAGAGUUCAGAGGCAACUGUCACAUACCAGUCACCAUCAGAGGCAGGAGGAGGAGUCUGAUAAAUAGAGAAGGAACGGAGAAAUGGGGGUGGAACUUCACUUGGGGCAACGUUAGGCAUUAUGGUGUAUCUUGAACUCGCCUCUGUAAAUUGUAUUAAUAAACAGAACUGAAAAAAGCUUUGUGUUUCUCCAUCUCACUGCCUUCCUGGGAGUCGGCCACAGCUGCUGACAGCUCCCUGACACUCUGGUAAUGUAUAUUGCAUACAUUCAAAUUUAGAAAUAAUCGGUAUAUUUAAAUAGAAAUACAUACUUUAAAAGAUAGAAACAAGGGCAAACGGUUAAAAGUGACUAUAAGGGAGGGAGUAUGAAGGAGCAGAGGGAUGUGGGUGGCGCUGUGGUAUAAACCACAGAGCCUAGGACUUGCUGAUCAGAAGGUCAGCGGUUUGAAUCCCUGCAAUGGGGUGAGCUCCCGUUGCUCAGUUCCUGCUCCUGCCAACCUAGCAGUUCAAAAGCACGUCAAAGUGCAAGUGGAUAAAUAGGUACCGCUCCGGCAGGAAGGUAAACGGCGUUUCCGUGCGCUGCUCUGGUUCACCAGAAGAGGCUUAGUCAUGCUGGCCACAUGACCCGGAAGCUGUAUGCUGGCUCCCUCGGCCAAUAAAGCGAAAUGAGCGCCGCAACCCCAGAGUCGGCCAUGACUGGACCUAAUGGUCAGGGGUCCCUUUACCCUUUACCUUUAUGAAGGAUCAGCAGCAGAGGGGCUAUCGGGCAAUUGCCCUAAAACAACAUACUUUUGUGUCCAUAUUUUUACCUCUUUAAAUAUGGCAACUCUACUUUAAAGCUGUCUUGGACUGGACAGCCCUUCAAAGAAACAUGGCCACCCUAACCUUAGAUGAUAUUGUGCUUUAGGUCUCAAGUCACUGAAGAAUUCAAGAACCACAAGAUUCGACUCUUUUGUUCCAUAUUGCUGGUCUUUUCAUCCUUAAUGACUUUGAUAUGCUCUGUUCUGUUAUCAGGAAGAGCAAAGCAUGAAGUUGCGUUAUAUGCGCUCAACAUUUAACCAUUGUGUUGUGUUGACUGUAUCUACCAGCCAGAUACUGUACCUAGGCAGAGGUUUGUAUAGCAGUGCUGGGCGCAGGCUUAAAACAGUCAAUUUAAAUUUAUUAUUAUCUUUGAUCUUGAGACCUAUUAUAUGUUCUCAACUAAUGAAGUGGGCAAUAUACAGAAACAAGCAACUUAACUGUGCUUUCUUGUAACAAACAUCUGGAAUAGAAAGAGUUCAAGGAGAAUAUAAGUUGCUGGUUUCUCAGCUGAGCUGAUGGAGAUGAACUGCAGUCCAUUUUCUCCCACUGCCACACCCUGACAGAAUGACAAAAUAAAUAAGUACCUGUCAGUUCUUGAGCAUCUCCAACUGGAGAAUCAUUUUUUCCCUACAGAAUGCAGUUAACUUUUAAGUGCAUUAUCUAAACAGAUAUCUUGGAUAUCUGUAUGUUUAUAUGUACAUGGGCGUAGCCAAUAUUUUUGUUGGGGGGCAGGACUUUGUUGGGGGGCAGAACCAAUGUGAAUGGUCAGUUAGUUAAAUAUUUCUAUUGUUUUACUUGAUCUCGGAGGGGGGAGCUGCCUUCCCUGCCCCCCCCCCAGCUACGCCCAUGUAUAUGUAUGUAUGUAUCUAUAUUUCAACUUAUUUCUCUAAUGGUGAGCAAAACAUACAGGAGGGCUUCUGCAUUUUACUGAAGUCUUGAUUUAUAUUUUACAUUGCAGAAAUUUUCUGUUGUCCUGGGGGCCUUCUGGGUAUUGACAGUAGUAAUCAUAAGUGAAGAAAACAAGAAUUCCUUUUUUCAGAAUAUGAAUAUUGAUUAGAGAAAGACUAUGUCCUGAGGUGUCUUAGAAAGCUUCAGUAACCACAUAUCAAAUCAGCCCCACCCACUCCCCCCAAAAUCAUAAUUAGUAAUUUUAAAAGAAUACAGUGAAGAUUUAUGAAUGGAACUAUACGCUUGACAAAACCAAUUUCUCCUGCUUUUGUAAGAUAGCUAGGAUUUUCAAACUGGGUCUGGGCAUUCUGCCAUGCCCAGAGGCUUUUCAGAUUUUGUUAACAGGCUUGCAAAUUAAACAAAAACCUUCACACCCUCGCACACCGAAGUCUAGCAAAGGUGGAAGCCUUGUACAAAAUUCCUUCUAAUCACAGCCCCAGAAAAUUCUUUGCCUCCUUAAAAUAUUUAGGAACUGCUACAAGAGUCAGUUGUGACUUUUCCUGUGUACUGUUAAGACUGCUCAACUUCCCUUUGGCAGCCGACGUUUGUUUGUUCAGCUCGCACUGACAUUUUGUGAAAAGGCACUCAUACCUUGUUGUCCUGAGAGUUGGGCCUCCCUGGGUUUUGCUCUCCUUUGAUCAUCACUCAGACAUGUCCACUCCACCCACAUUCUUCCGUAAGUGUGUGUGUGUGUGUCACAAAAACCUGAUGGCAUUUAAGCUGACAUAGCAGCCCAACCGACAAGCAAAUAAAGCCCUACAGCCCAGUUGUACUCACAGCCAGUCUCAUCUUUGACAACCUAACCUUGUCCUGCUAAUUGUAACUGGCAUGCCAACUGGAAUUGAAAAAGCAAAAGAAGAGAGAGAAGACGGGGUAAAUACAGGAGAGCAAGAGAGGGAAGGAAUGUUGAUGACCUGCCUUGGCACCUAUGUUUACUUCGGGCAGGGAGGAAUGUGUAAAGAAUAUUCUGUGCUGUCAGGGUGGACGACAUAAAUAUCACAUUGCCAACCAGUUGUAUGCCUAUAGAAAACAAAUGGGAAAACGAUCAAUAAUAUGGAUUCCUCCAUUUCCAGACAGUAUGCUUGAAAAAAUAAUAACUUUUAACAAAAGUCUUCUAGGAGAACAAAAAAUGACGCGACCAUUUGUUAGUGCUAAACGGCUGAGUAGAAGGCCAAGAAACGGAGUGGUCCUAAGUGGGGGGUCCAUGGCAGAGACUAGGGCCCUGCAGGACUUGAUCUCCUUCCGCAGGGCCUGUAAGACAGAGCUAUUCCGCCUGGCCUUCAAUUUGAAUUAGCCUGAUCCUCUAUUCCCUUUCCCCCUUUCUUCUUCUAUGAAGAAACCCUUUCUGGGACCCUACAUUUAAAUUCUUCCCUGGUCUCCUUGCUGGCCCUAGUAGGACCAACUUGGCCAGUUAGCCCUGGUGAUCAUUUGAUGUCUACUGACUGGUUUUUGUUUUGUUUUCUCCCCAAAAUGACCCCUGAAUUUUUGAAUUUUAUUGAUAGUGAUGCUGCAUUUUAUGUUGUACUUUAUGCUGUUUUUAAGUCGCAUUUUAACCAAUGUUUUAUAUUUGCUGUUAGCCGCCCUGAGCCCGGUUUUUAAACUGGGAAGGGUGGGGCAUAAAUAAAAUUUAUUAUUAUUGUUGUUGUUGUUGUUAUCAUCACUGUUACCCUGCCAGAGGUGGGGGCAACUUCUCCUCCUCCUUCUCCUCCUCCUCCUCCUCCUUCUUCUUAAUUGAAUUUAUAUUCCGCCCUAUACCCAGGGGUCUCAACGCAGUUCACAGAAUAAAAUCAAGACAUAAAACCACAAAAUACUUAAUAAAAAUAAAAGCAGCAACUCAAUACUUAAAAGGGUUAGGGUUUUUAUUGUUUGUUCAUGGUGGAUCUUUACUGUUUCUUUUUCUUUCUCUCUCUCACUCACACACACUGUCACACACAGUGGUGGAGUGUUCCCCGCUGACGCCUGGGGCAGGCUAUACAUAUCAGGGAACAUGUGGUAUGCCAUGGGGGCAGGGCAUGCUGUGGGGGCGUGCCAUGCCGCCAGAGCAACCCCUGCCCACUGGCCAGCUAGGUUUGAGGGAUGCAUUCACUGCGGCCUGCAAACCCUGCGAGACUCGCAAAAAUGGCGCCGUGAGCUGGUAUGUCCUUCUCAGGCGCCCACCAUAAGUGAUUAGAAAUCAUUUUGAAGCAUAAGAUUUUUAAUAAACAAGAUUUAAAAAUAUAAACCACUAUAGUAAGGGUAAAGGUAAAGGACCCCUGACAGUUAAAUCCAGCGUGAACGACUCUCUGUGGUUGCGGUGCUCAUCUCGCUUUACUGGCCAAGGGAACCGACGUUUGUCCGCAGACAGUUUUUCUGGGUUGUGUGGCCAGCAUGACUAAGCUGCUUCUGGCGAAACCAGAAGAGCAGCGCACGGAAACGCCAUUUACCUUCCCGCCACAGAGGUACCUAUUUAUCUACUUGCAUUGGCAUGCUUAUGAACUGCUAGGUUGGCAGGAGCUGGGACCGAGCAAUGGGAGCUCACCCCAUCAUGGGGAUUCAAACCGCCAACCUUCUGAUUGGCAAACUCUAGGCUCAGUGAUUAGACCACAGCGCCACCCGUGUCCCUAGUGAACCACUAUAGUAGCGCAAAUAAAAUUUAUUCAAUUAUGAUACAAAACAAUUAGAGAAACAAAUUCCUAUCAGGUCUAAGAAGUCCACAGUGCUGCUUGCUGUUGGGUUGUUGUUAUGCUUUUCAUCAUCAUCAUCAUAACCUUGUUUUAAGAAAUGACUCUUGACACUGAAAACUAUUUGUAAGUUAUAUAAGAAGCCUACUGUAUGCACAUGAAAAGGUGUGAAAGACGACUCAAGAGUCCUUCUUUUCCGUAAAGUAGAACCUUCUUUUUACUCCCAUUUUGCCUGGAUGGUUUAAUUCCCACUGAGGGAUUUUAAGUGGGAGGAGCUAUUAAAGGAAAAUUUAGUCAGUCUAUAAGCACCUAUUAAAUACUUGAGAGUACCUGAUAUUCCAUCAUAUCAUGUCAAUCUAUCUAAUAGAGCUAUUAGAAUGUUGAGACAGGCAAGAAGCACAUUAGGAUUGAGGUUUUACCUUAAUGCGUACCAAUUUCAUUUUGACACUAAAUAAAUAAAUAAAUCACCCUUUUAGAUGGGGGGGAGGAGUUUACUAACAGCGUGGAAGGGCACCCGACAUUAAAAGGGGAAAAGAAUGUGAUACUAAAAACACAAUAACCCAAACUGCUUCAUUUUACUUCAUUUAUCAACUGCAUAGAAUAAACCUCGUUUUAAAAGUCUUCAGUUUCAACCAAGAACAUUUCUCCCUGAAAAUCGAAAACAACUUUCCCCACAUGACUUUGAUUAACACAGAAAUUACACAAGUUCCUCUAAAACAAAACAAAAAAUCAGAAGGACCCAGGUAAAAUUUUGAAGCCAUUUCUUUUACCUUUCCCCCAAUCCCCAAAGUUGAGUAAUAGGAAUGGAGUUGUUCUCUUCCCAUCCUGCUGUCCAUAAAGUAGAAAUUUCUCUGAAAAGAGCUUUCAGAUAAUACUUAUUACAAUACUAAUAAUUGUAUUCUCCUGAAUUGUUGGAGAAUAUUCGGUGAAAUGACCUCCCAGGGUUCAUCAUCCCUUAAUUUUGUUUUUUUAAAAAAUAAUUUUUUAUUAACCGACCAAUCAAAUCAAAUCAAAUCACAUCACAUAAUUCCAAAUUAGAGAGCUGAAUUUUAAAUUUUUUGUUGGGGGUACCCAUAUUUCAAGUUCCGAAGGGGAUUCCAAUCAUCUUCUUGCUGCUGCGUUAAUAUCCACAAAUCUGUCCAGAUAAUGUUCAUAUUUCUAUCCAGUCCUAUCUUGCUGUUUCCACGUCUCAUCUUAUUCAUAUAUUUUUCUUUUUUCUUUGUGAUCUCUUCUGAUAAUCUCCUUAAGCAGAUAAACACCAGUUAUAACCCUGUGUGAAUUUUUGCGUUUGUCCAAUCACCAUAUCGAGAUGGUUCCAUAUAUCAUCACUUCCAUAAAUAAAAGCAGUCUUUCCAUCAUUCAUCUUCGUAAAUCUGUCGCCUUCUUUUAGUCCUCUGAGGAGGCCGCCCGCAAUAUGAAAACAGAUCCAUUCCUCCUUCCAGACAUAAGUCUUUUGACAGAACUUACCAAAAUGGUGACGCUGUUUUUUUUACUGCGUCAUCCCAAAGCUCUUAAACUUUCCACGAUCUCCUUAAAACAUGCUUUUGGUUAGAGGUUUUCUCCACACAGUCUUAAAUCAUCAGCUUAGGUCAUUUAAGCAGCAUUUCUGACUUGUGGGGGGGGGGAUUCUUGGUUAAUCACAUAAAGAAAAGAAAGGAAAGUCCCCCCCCCAAUCCAGUCCCGUUGCCACAUACCGAGCCUUGGUGUGUCUUCUCAUGAUAUAUUCUUGAUUAUCCGACCCGUCUUCUUUCUCAGAGAUCUCUUCAAUCAGCAGUCUUUACUCCCCCUUCUUCCUUGAAAUAUGUGCAUUAGCUUCCACCUAAUUGUUUCUUUUGAAGUUGCUGCAGCUAGAGGCGCGAAUCAGAGACAACGUCCAGGAGAGCCGAAGUCCGCACAAGGGCUUUCUGCCUAGUGCCCCCACCCCCUCAAAUUCGGGGGUGAAUUAUGGACACAGCAGGCAAGGGCAGUCCCCCCCACUCCCUUGGGGGGGCAGGGAGGCUGUUUACUCCCAUCACAGCCUCUUAAUUACCUCGUUUGGGUCAGAGAGAUGUUAUUGUCAGCCAUCUUCCAAUGCGCCCCUAGUGCCCCCCCUUCAUCCCUUAAUUUUGGAAGCAGCUGUGAUUUUCAGCUUCUAUACUGCUUACUAUUAUUUCAAUAGAAUCAAGCGAGGGAAGAACUUUGGGCCUUACUCCAUCCAGUCUUCUUCUCUUAGCCCAUUGCUUCCUUCAUAAUCCCCCAAUAUGGAAGGAAGCCCCUUUCUGUGCUCAAUAAGCAUGGGAUGCUUUUGCCCAGAGGCACUGUGGCUUAUGGAUUGCAGCAAAAUACUGGGCAAGGUGCGAUGGGUCCAAGGGGAAAAGCUGUCUCAUGAGCCCUUGCUGCAGAGGGGAAGGGAAACCCUAUAUUUUUAUUUGAGAGCUUCCUGCCUGCCCAUGCCCGGGUUAGAGCCUUCACUGAGCAAUUUUGGGUCACUGGUUGACAGAGCAAGAAAGGAUUCUUUCUCUCUCAACCUGACUGGCAUUUGGGUUUUUCCCCUCUCCUUUCCCUCAGUGAAAUUAUGGCCUUCCUUUGCUAGGCGGGAGAACAUUGUAUGAGAGCGGAAAUGGCAUUGGUCAGGAUCAACAUGGUCUAGGAGGGCCCAUAAGGGGCUUGAGGGGAGGAUUGGCCAUGGCAAACCCAAGUUUGGGUUUGGUAUCUGCUUGGUUGGAAUCUGCACCCUGGUCCCCCAGUGAGACUUUGCUUGUUUGGCUUGAACCACAGAAAGGAUCAGCACUUAUCGACUCCCAGGUUUGGAGCUGUCCAAACCCAGUGGAUCCAUUCCAUCAACAUGAGGCUUGUGGAAUGGCGAACAGAUCCUGGGACCCAAUUGGCCCUGCCUGCUGCUGCUGUCAAUAAAGAUUUGGCCUGAUUUUAACCCGUCACCAUUGUACAGUCUGGUUACAUUGCUGUUCUCAUGGGUCACAAAACGCGCCUGCUUGGGCAAAGAGUGUCAAUUAAUAUUUUGUUAUUGUUGUUGUCAUUUAGUCAUGUCCGACUCUUCGUGACCCCAUGGACCAGAGCACGCCAGGCACUCCUGUCUUCCACUGCCUCCCGCAGUUUGGUCAAACUCAUGCUGGUAGCUUCAAGAACACUGUCCAACCAUCUCGUCCUCUGUCGUCCCCUUCUCCUUGUGCCCUCCAUCUUUCCCAACAUCACAGUUGUUUCCAGGGAGUCUUCUCUUCUCAUGAGGUGGCCAAAGUAUUGGAGCCUCAGCUUCAGGAUCUGUCCUUCCAGUGAGCACUCAGGGCUGAUUUCCUUAAGAAUGGAUAGGUUUGAUCUUCUUGCAGUCCAUGGGACUCUCAAGAGACUCCUCCAGCACCAGAAUUCAAAAGCAUCAGUUCUUCAGUGAUCAGCCUUCUUUAUGGUCCAGCUCUCACUUCCAUACAUCACUCCUGGGAAAACCAUAGCUUUGACUAUACAGGCCAUUGUUGGCAAGGUGAUGUCUCUGCUUUUUAAGAUGCUAUCUAGGUUUGUCAUGAGUUAUUCAAGCCCCUUCGCCAUGGCAAGGCAGUGAUCCAUGAAGGGGCAGUGAAUAUUUAAGUGAACUGAAAUGUCCAAGAAUAGAAUUUACUGAGAAAAACUACUGGCAAAUUUCAACUCCCCUGAAAAAACCCUUAAAAGUGUUUUUGACUCACUAUGCACAUUGCAUACAGAAUAAAAUGGCAGAAUGAGAUGGUCAAACACUGGGCUCUGCUACUUCAGGAUACAGAUGGAGAGGGAUCAUAUUAUACAAAAGUGAUCCUUGAAUAUUAUAAACUAGAGCAACAGAGAGAGGGCUACGCUCUUUCCUUCCCCUCUCUUAUUCCUAGUUCGCUACAUGCAGUGAAUUUUAUACAUAGGGAGCUUUCAAAAAUGUAUCUCCCUGUCUGGCACAGUGCAGUACAGAAUUCUACCGCAUUCAUUUACCACAAAUCUGUAGAAUCAGGUUUUAGAAAAUACUACGCAUUCGAAAUUCUGUGAGUAGCCAAUGUCUUUGAAGAGCUCAGUAGAGGGAAAUUCCAGGCUGCCGAAAGAUGCCUUACUUUAAUCGUUCAGGGAAUUCUAGUUAUAAAAAGUUUUAUAAGCACCACAAACCCAAUAACACUGCGAGCCAUGCUUAUAAUACUUGCAAAACACAACACAGUGUCAAAAGGUUGAGGCACAACUUUUACAGAGAAGUGGAACCAUAUGAGCAAGCGAUACAGCUGCCAACCUGGACCAGCCACAAGACUCUUCAAACUAUUCCCCUCCAUUGUUCUUGCCACCUCAUUUUCAUCGCUGAGCUUAAUACAUUUCAAAUGUUAUCCAUUGGAGGGGGGAUGCUGUCCUCAUAUCCGAAUACUGCUACAUUCAACGAGAGCUGCCUAAAGUGAAAUUUUGAGGCAAAUAUGGAGAUACCUGCUCAGAAAUUUGAGGAAGGCAAGAGAAGUUUGAACAAUACUGGCAAAAGUUCAGGGAAGGGGGAACCACAGAAAAUCCAUUCUCUGCAUACUUUGCUGCCUUUUUACACUGUACUAUGCCCACGAAAUUAAAAGACGCCUGCUUCUUGGGAGAAAAGCAAUGACAAACCUAGACAGCAUCUUAAAAAGCAGAGACAUCCCCUUGCCAACAAAGGCCCGUAUAGUUAAAGCUAUGGUUUUCCCAGUAGUGAUGUAUGGAAGUGAGAGCUGGACCAUAAAGAAGGCUUAUCGCCAAAGAAUUGAUGCUUUUGAAUUAUGGUGCUGGAGGAGACUCUUGAGAGUCCCAUGGACUGCAAGAAGAUCAAACCUCUCCAUUCUUAAGGAAAUCAGCCCUGAGCGCUCACUGGAAGGACAGGUCGUGAAGCUGAGGCUCCAAUACUUUGACCACCUCAUGAGAAGAGAAGACUCCCUGGAAAAGACCCUGAUGUUGGGAAAGAUGGAGGGCACAAGGAGAAGGGGACGACAGAGGACAAGAUGGUUGGACAGUGUUCUCGAAGCUACCAGCAUGAGUUUGACCAAACUGCGGGAGGCAGUGGAGGACAGAAGUGCCUGGCAUGCUCUGGUCCAUGGGGUCAUGAAGAGUCGGACAUGACUAAAUGACUAAACAAACAACAUGGUCAGUGUUCAAAACUCCCAUUGUUUUAGGCGCAUUUUGCGACAGUGAAUUUCAUUAGCGCGAGCGGUUUCUGAGCUCUUGGCGCAGUACUGUACCUAAGAUUUCAGAUUAAAACUACUGAGUGGAAGGAAAGGAGGACCUUUUUCUGCCUCCCCACUUCCAGCUGCUCUCUGAAGACUGGAGAAGAGACCCCCAUAAGAAUAUUAGGGGGGUGGUCAGGGGAAGGACUAGACCAUGUGAAAAAUGAACAUAAUAUAUUAGCUGCAGUUCAUUCAUGUUCAGCUUUGUAUUCUUGUUAUAAAAAAGUGCACUUAGAUCUCAGUUUCUAACACAGACCAUGCCCAUAUCCAGGAUGAGCAUCUAGAGAAAUGGGAUGGGAGUUUUUAACCAAACUGUUUCUGCCCACCCUCCUGGGUGAUUGACCUUUAAAUUGUACCAGACAAUUAAUUAAUCCAUGUGAGGAAGUUGCUCUAGGAAACCAUCUCUGUCUGCCACAGAAUCUUGCUUCCUGUUUGCAUACUCUGUCCAAUGCAAUGAUAAGGACAAUCAAUAUGCAAAAUAUGUGUGAUCUUGUCUGUGUUUCUCCUCCUCCUUAAUGAUAUAUCCUUGAAAGCAGAUAUUUAGUGAAAUACUAUUUUUGUAGACUUUUGCAUACCAUUUAUUUGGAUAUUGAAAAAUGUUGGGGUCUGUGGGAUUAUAUUACUUUUAUACAAGGCAUUUUUCUGCUUUUCUUGUUUCGCCUCUUAGAAGCUUCCUAGGAUCUUUAGCUCGCUCAGUAGAGCUUGUGACUCUUAAUCUCAGGAUUGUGGGUUGAAACCCCACCUUGGGCAUUUCAGGGGGUUGGGCUAAAUUACCUUUUUUGGUCCUUUCCAACUCUACAUUUUUGUGAUUUCAUGCCUUCCGUCCAGACACGCAGUUUGGAGUUUCAGAACUAAGUUUCAGAACCUUUGAGUGGCUCUUAAAAGUUUGUUGAUUUGUCUUUCAAAAACAAAUCAGCAAAAUGUUUCAGAUGAAAUGCUAAGAAUAUCUUAAUCCCAGGAUGCGCACAAUGAUGUAUGGCACAAACUGCUGAAGGGUUUGGUCCAUAGCUCACAAACAAUAGUUUUGCUUUCUUCUUUGACAAAUCUCUAAUCCAGCCAAAGUGAAUAGCAGCAGUCAGCAGCACAUAUUUAUAGCAUUACAAAGCAUCUAACAACUUCCCAGGGUAUUUGGAGCUUCAGUCCAAAAGGAAUCUGAAAGUUGGUAUGAAGUAUUUGUCUUUAGAGGUACAUCAAGAUGAAAAUCGUGCCGCACCAGCACGUUGUCCUGAUGAACCAGGCUUUGUAGUUAGGCAUCAGCAGUGAUGUGAUGCAUGAAGACUUUUCCAUAUGCUGUUGAUAAUGAUUGUCAUGUGUUUUGACGAUGGAUGUUCACUCUAGUGUCAUAGAAUGGGCUCUUGAGAACAACAGGUUUUCAUCAACAUUUGAAACACUGAAUUAUGAUGACAUAAUAUAGAAUUUUAAGUGGGCUUUGUGGUGACAAAGCGUGAGAGCCAUGGACAGAAAAGUCACCUCUACUCAGGCAUGUUGGUAGUACAGUGGCUACAUGUAUAGACCAAGAUGUCCCCAGCUCACAUUUUCCCUAAGGGUUUCACGAACCUUCCAAGGUGUCACGAAACCUCCGUUUUCAUGAAUCUGUACAGUUUUAAAAGUGGAGGAACUAAUAAGACCUGACACCAUCCUAAGUCCUCUUCAUUCUUCCUCCCACAUUGAAAAACAGCAUGUAAUUAGCUAGGCAGUUUACUGUUGCAUUUCAGGCCUUGCUAUUCAAAGCCACAAUGCCCAGAACUCAACCCGCAGAGGAAAACAAGAUUAUAACUUCUGUUCAGACAAGUGACAUUUUACUACCAAGCUCUUGUGUAUUACAUUUCACAAACUCAAAUUAAAGUCUAUUCUAUAUCAUAGGAGGCAUCUCAAGACAGAAAUCCAUUUCUUUUGUGGGAAAAGAUUUGGAAAGCUUCAAGAAAAUGGUACUUUAUGCCCAAGAAAUAUAGAUAUUGUUUCCUAAACUGGAAUUUUGAUGGUAUUGCUCUUAUUGUAUAGCAUGCUUUUUACAACUGUGAGCAGGUUCAGGAGCACAGUGGGACACACAUUUAAAUCAAGUAAAUAAACAAACACUGCCAUAAAAUUGUAUCCCAUGUAAGGAGGGCUGGGCCAGAAAUGUAAAGUUUCGUUCUUGGUAAAGGGAGUGGCUAAUGAAAUAAAUGUGUGCUUGUGGCUUCUAACAUGUUCAGCUUUUGCCUCAACAAUUUUCUUUGGGGUUUGUUUGUUUUUUACAUAGCCAUGUCUGAAUCCAUCUACAAUUCCAAGCCCCUCAAAUAAGGUGGUGUUGAGCAAUACUGACUGCCCCCCCCCCCAAUUUGCUGAAAGUUACAUAACCCAUAGCAUGGAUAGGCAAACUAAGGCCCAGGGGCUGGAUCCGACCCAAUCACCUUCCAAAUCUGGCCCGUGGACUCAGGAAUCAGCGUGCUUUUACAUUAGUAGAAUGUGUCCUUUUAUUUAUAAUGCAUCUCUGGGUUAUUUGUGGGGCCUGCCUGGUGUUUUUACAUGAGUAGAAUGUGUCCUUUUAUUUAAAAUGCAUCUCUGGGUUAUUUGUGGUGUUUUUUACAUCAGUAGAAUGUGUGCUUUUAUUUAAAACGCAUCUCUGGGUUAUUUGUGGGGCAUAGGAAUUCGUUCAUUUCCCCCCCUCCAAAAUAUAGUCUGGCCCCCCACAAGGUCUGAAGGACAGUGAUCUGGCCCCCUGCUGAAAAAGUUUGCUGACCCCUGAUCCAGAGAGAAUGUGAAAGGACAUACCAGGACUUGUUGACCCGUCGGCAUUAUGAGUACAACAGAAUUAAAGUAUUAUCAUUGUUGUCAAAGUACAGUCCCAUUCGGAGUCCUAUUCAGCUGAGAUACAGGAUGGAGACAAGACCAAAAUCUAAAAGGCAAUGGCAACGGAACUAUCCAGCAGUUGCCAAGAACAAUUAAAAAGGUAAAGGGACCCCUGACUGUUAGGUACAGUUGCGGACGACUCUGGGAUUGCGGCGCUCAUCUCGCUUUACUGGCCGAGGGAGCCAGCAUUUGUCUGCAGACAGCUUCCGGGUCAUGUGGCCAGCAUGACUAAGCCACUUCUGGUGAACCAGAGCAGCGCACGGAAACACCGUUUACCUUCCCACCGGAGUGGUACCUAUUUAUCUACUUGCACUUUGACGUGCUUUCAAACUGCUAAGUGGGCAGGAGCAGGGACCGAGCAACAGGAGCUCACCCUGUCACGGGGAUUCGAACCGCCAACCUUCUGAUCAGCAAGCCCUAGGCUCAGUGGUUUAACCCACAGUGCCACCUGCUUCCCAAGAACAAUUAAGGAGCCUCCAUUGUGGGCAAAAAUGUAUCUGACCCCCCAGCCCAUAAAUAAACUCCAUGUUCUUAGCAUCCCAAGAAGACUGAUAAGAGAUAUCAGAAAGAAUGGUAAGAGAUUUGCUUUUAAAAGAAAUCCAGAAAGAGAACCAUCUCAGCACUUUAAAUAUUUAGAUGUGUGCUCUAAUCUUGUUGCUAAAUCAACAUGUUAAGUAUGAUGUGUCACUGGGCAUGUGAGAGGGAGGCUGAUAACUUUAAAGGGGAUCACUGGCGAGAGCCAGUGUGGUGUAGUGGUUAAGAGCGGUAGUCUCGUAAUCUGGGGAACCGGGUUCGCGUCUCCGCUCCUCCACAUGCAGCUGCUGGGUGACCUUGGGCUAGUCACACUUCUCUGAAGUCUCUCCCCACUCACCUCACAGAGUGUUUGUUGUGGGGGAGGAAGGGAAAGGAGAAUGUUAGCUGCUUUGAGACUCCUUAAAGGGAGUGAAAGGCGGGAUAUCAAAUCCAAACGCUGCUGCUGCUGCUGCUGCUUCUUCUUCUUCUUCUUCUUCUUCUCCUUCUUCUUCUUCUUCUUCUUCUUCUUCUCCUUCUUCUUCUUCUUCUUCUUCUUCUUCAUCAAGUCCCCUCUUUCUCUAACCUUUGUGAGUAUCAGGUGAAGAAAUCAGAGAGGCAUUAUAGACCCCGAUUUCAUUGGAUGGGGUAGAAAAGUUUCUUUUCCUCGAAGCAUGAUUAUAAUCCCUUUGGCUCUUAAAAGGCAGAGAGAUUAAACCAUUUGGGAAAAUGCAUCUGUCAUCCCCAUGAUACUAUAUAAACAUAGUGUGACUUGCUAUAUAGGUCAAUGGGCCAGUUACACAGGUUCAGAGUGAAGAUUUAAAAAAUGAAUAAAAGCUUGGCACAUGGGCUUAUGUGGUUUAUUUGGUUCAAGUGGUUAUAAACAAAUACUUAUGCACAUAUACCAGCAUGCAGGUGGGACACAAGUGGCGCUGGGGUCUAAACCACAGAGCCUAGUCUCUGCUUCUCUGUUUGUAUUGUAUUAUUUUAUGUACUGUGGCUUUCCGUUGUUUUAUUGAUUAUAGUUUAGAAAUUAUUUAUUGUAACUGUUGAGUGGGUUUCUGUUUAACUUUUAUAUGUUAUUAUUAUUUAAUACUAUCCUAGUGAUUGUUGAGGGACAUGGGUGGUGCUGUGGGUUAAACCACAGAGCCUAGGGCUUGCCGAUCAGAAGCUCAGCGGUUCAAAUCCCCGGGACAGGGUGAGCUCCCGUUGCUCGGUCCCUGCUCCUGCCAACCUAGCAGUUCAAAAGCACAUCAAAGUGCAAGUAGAUAAAUAGGUACUGCUCUGGCGGGAAGGUAAGCGGCAUUUCCGUGUGCUGCUCUGGUUGGCCAGAAGCGGCUUAGUCAUGCUGGCCACAUGACCCAGAAGCUGUACGCCAGCUCCCUUGGCCAGUAAAGCGAGAUGAGCGUUGCAACCCCAGAGUCAUCCGCGACUGGACCUAACAGUCAGGGGUCCCUUUACCUUUUUACCAGCAUGCAGUCUCCCUUAUGUUUUUAAAAUAUGCUCUGAAACUUUAUUUGCACAAACCAAAUUUAAUGUAAAAUACCUUCCACACAUGAAUCCUUUUGCUGUUGCUAACUAAUUAGUUAUUUUGACACCUUAGUCGCUGGGGAAGCAGACCCAAGUGGUGCUGCCUUUAAAUGGGAAAAGCAGCUGUCUUGUUUGCUCUGUGAUAUUUUUCCACCAAGAAGGGAUGUUGCAGCACUGAAUGCCAAUGACACGUUUAUCUAAAGGACAGAUGUGUGGGUUUUGCUGCAGAUCCUUUUCAAAUUAGGCAGCAUCAGAGAGUUUUUAAACAAACUGAAUUCCCUCUGAAAGCACAGAAAUCAGUCACAGCAAAACAAGGUCUUACUUUAAAAGAAGAUAUAUUGGGAAUAAGAAACAGGAGUUUAGAUCCAGGAGUUGCAACUGACCAGCUCUGGAAUGGCUUUCUGGAGCAGCAUGGGGGGUGGGAAGUAAUGAAAAUAGAUUCUCAACUUCCUUCCUCCAGUGUAAGUCUCCACUAAAUAUUAGUAACAUCCAAGAAACACUCCCAUUUGUGCAGCAACCACUCUGGGUCCAAUCCAUUUUAGAUGCUGUUUCCUGUUUUUUGUUUAGUCGUGUCCGACUCUUCGUGACCCCAUGGAACAGAGCACGCCAGGCACUCCUGUCUACCACUGCCUCCCGCAGUUUGGUCAAACUCAUGCUGGUAGCUUCAAGAACACUGUCCAACCAUCUCACCCUCUGUCGUCCCCUUCUCCUUGUGCCCUCCAUCUUUCCCAACAUCAGGGUCUUUUCCAGGGAGUCUUCUCUUCUCAUGAGGUGGCCAAAGUAUUGGAGUCUCAGCUUCAGGAUCUGUCCUUCCAGUGAGCACUCAGGGCUGAUUUCCUUCAGAAUGGAGAGUUUGAUCUUCUUGCAGUCCAUGGGACUCUCAAGAGUCUCCUCCAGCACCAUAAUUCAAAAGCAUCAAUUCUUCGGCAAUCAGCCUUCUUUAUGGUCCAGCUCUCACUUCCAUACAUCACUCCUGGGAAAACC